rnacentral:lncRNA from 1 species
GGUGGGCAUGAGGAGCUUGAAGACGGUGAACUUGGAGAAGAUGGGGAGAUCCAUUAGGCUUUGCUUUUACCUCCAAGAUUUGUCAGUACUUACAACUGUCCCUUGUCAUGUUCUCAAUUGCUGCUAUUUUGUCUUAUUCUGCUUAAUAACUGACUAGUGUUAUAAUUACGGAAAAUUAAUGCCUACAUUUUUGUCAUCUUCUGGAAUCUACUCAUUAUUCUGCCUUUCUGCAGUAGCAUAAAACUGGUUGGCCUAUACUUUUGACCUUGCUCAGGGGAGCUUUGUCGUCUAACUUUUGUGGUGUAGCGGUGCAUUUAGCUCGGACGAUUUAGUGUAUGUUUGCAAGUUACUAGUUUUAUGCUUAUAUCACUAAACAAGUUUCUUACUGACAAUUUUGGGUGAGACAUCAGAGUUUGGGUAGUGGUGUCCUGAUUGUAGGCAAUAUGGUUUUUGACAAAGCCAGUGAUGGACAGUUCCAUGCGCCUGCUACCAUUGAUUCAGCAUGGACAUGGAUGCCUGUAGCCGCACUAACAACACUUGUUUGCAAGAGGGGCAGCCGCUGCAGCAGUUCAUCAUCUUUCACAGCAAUGAGUAAUUUGACAGUUCUGUCAUGAGGGGAUUUAAGUUUGAUGAGAUUGUAAGAUGUGUACAUGCGUAUGCAUGAAUGCAUACUCAUAGUCAGCUGAUCUUGUCACAGGAUGCCUGGUUUUACUGGCAAGAUGUUCCGAGUAGCGAUGCAAGUGGCGCCGCAGCAACUGCCCUGUUCCGCCGGCCAAAUCAGCUGUAGUAGUUUUUUCGUGUCAUUAGUAUAAUUUGUACUGUGAUAGCUGCUUAACUGUCUGUUGCUGGCGCACCUCUUGCAUCCUAGUUUUGAGUGUAGCUAUCAUCAACUUGAUUUCUACACUGAAGUAUAUACAUGUUUGUUUGUGUGUUAUUAAUCCUUGUAACCCAGCCGUUCUGAAUGUUGUGUGUUAAUGCUUGUAACCCAGCUGAAGAGGGUUAGCUGUUAGCCAUGGUGUGCAGCUUAUAUAUUAUUGAACGGUAAGGUUUAUACAUUCUGUUUAUGCAGGGAAGCGGACGUUUGGUUUCCGGUUAUUGUUGCUCUCUGUUGGUGAAUCAUGUUCUGCAGUAUAUCUAUUUUCGGCCUGUAAGGUUUAUAUGAUAUGUUUAUGGAACUUUGCGUAGGUUCAGUUGUGUGUUAUUGUUUUAAUCACAUACUGCUUGAGCUAUGCAUUUUUCUGUCAGUUUGUACUGCUGAACACAGCUUAGUGACUGCCUUGCGGUUACAUCUAGCAUAGAUUUGGACUUGGCUGGUUGUCACAUGUUUAUACUUUAGAAGGGGUUAUGUAAAAUUCACUGCCGAACAUGAGUAAUAGCUGUUGUAGGUGUCCACAAUUUGUUAGGCAAUAGUUGUAUCAAAAUUGAUCUGUGUCGGUGCCAUGGCAGUUAUGAUGGUGUGAGCAAAAGUGAAUGUGAGGAAAUAAUUCCUUAUUUAAGCCUAUUAAAUUAUUUUGUUUUUGACACUGAAAACUACUUUCUUCGCUGACUAACACCGAUUCUAGAUUUUAUGCCCUUUAUAUGACACUUCUGUCCAUUUUUCCAUCUAACUCUGUUAAAUUGCAUGUAAAAAGACACUUCUACCUUCGUGUAUGUUGGCUGAGGUCUGUACGCCGAUGCUACCAGUGUCAGUAGUUUCUCGACGAGGUGCCUGGCCGGUGCUGUUGGGCACAGUAACACGCGUAGAUAGACAAAAACUCGCUUGGUGAUUUUCAAUUAGUACGCCGGGCUAGACGUACAAAUGGAAGCUGGAUUCCUAUUGCCAAGCAGCCUGAUCGAUUCUAGCCGAACUAGCUAGCACGCGAAGCUAGUUUUGCACUAGCUAGCCUGAUCGAUUGAUGGCUGCUCGUGCAUCUGCAGCUACAAUAUGUGUUCUCUUAAUAUACGUGUAAGUGUAGGGCGUGUCGAGCAUGGUCGGGCGAGCUGGAGGUGUCUUUUUUAUGGUCUGCCUAGGUCUUAGUUGAUUGAGACUUAACCAAGAGUCAAGUGAUGUAGUAUAAAAAAAGAAAAGAAAAAAAACUGAAACGAAUAUUUUAUACGAAUCUUCAUGCAAGAUGUAGCGGAUACAACAUUGAUUGAGACUUAACCAAGUCUUAAUGAUAUACUCCCCGGUCCAAAAAUAUGUGUCUUAAACUUAGUUCAAUUUUAUAUUAAAGGUAGUACAAGGUUGAGACACUUAUUUAGGAACGGAAGGAGUAGUAUACAAGAAAAAAAAACUGAAACAAAUAUUUUGUACAAAUUUCUAUGCAAGAUCUAGGGGAUAAAGCAUCGAGUAGGAUCUAGUAAAUUGUGGUCACAUGCCACAUAAGAGGCAAAAAGAUAUUUUCCAUUGAUAUUUAACACCAUUAAGGACCCUAAGACUUCCGAUGGCGAAGAGGUCACCAGCAGGCUCUCUAACCUCUUCUAGUCACGCAUCACGCCACAUAGCUUUGACACAUCUGCACCGAAGUAAAAAAUGGCUGCCGUCCUCAAACAUGUUGAGAUUAAUUCUGUAAAAAGGGAAAUCUCCCCUUGCCCAAACGACCAAGCGGUUGCAUCGUGCGCGGACGCCUCUGUCCCGGCAACUGACGCAUCUCUCUGGAACCGAUGCCUCCUCUGGAUCGUCGUGUCUCUCCAGGAGAUAUAUAAGCGUCCUGUAAACCAUCAAGAGAUUCGAUCAUUCUGAUUCAAAACAUGUUAUCAUGCACGUAGAAGAGCUAGCAAGAGCAAAUAGAAACAACAGAGAGAAAGGAGAAGAGAGGGAGCACUCGCCGCCGGUGAGAUGCCUAACCUCGUUUCCUUCUUCCUCCGCCUGAUCCACGAGAAUGGUCGUCGAUGUCGUCGUCGCUACCAUGGAGUGGGUGGACUCAGGCGUUUCCGUUGCCGGAUGCAAGCCAUCCGUCGAUUUGGCCGCCACCGCGCUGCUAUACGUGGCGCUCCUGGCCGCCACCGCGCCGCUGGACGUGGCGCACCUGGCCGCCACCGUGCUGCUUGACGCGCCUCCCGCCUUGCUCCCCUCGCCCCUGGACGCGCCCACGACGGUGCUCCCUGCGCCCGUGGCCAGGCGCCCAUGGGGUUUGACCCCUGGCUAGUGGCCGGCCCGAGCGCCUCCAUGGUGCACAAGGCUGCAACCGCGGCUUGCAACGCCCCCUGGGUCUCCGCCUCCACCACCUCCUCCGCCGGCCGCGUGGCUCGCGCCGUCGACGCCACCGCCCGCCGCCGAGGCCGCCGACCCGCUCGGAUUCAUCCCCGUGCCGAUGCGCGCCGUCGUGAACGAGGAGGAGGCGCUCGCCUUCGUCUCCGCGCCAAUCGGCGCCUCCGGAGUUGUCCGCCUUGGAGCCGGCAUGGAGGGCGCUGACGCCACCGCCACGCCUCAGCAGUAGACGGCAGCGGGCUCGAGCAGCCGCGCCGCACGGCGCUUUGGGCAUCUCUUCAGGCGUCUCGUCGCUGUCAUCGACCGCCGCCCCAGCCGCCGCUCCGGUUCGUGGGCUCCGGCGAGCCUCGGCCUCGCCAGCGCCGCGCCUCCAGGAGCCCACCUGGACCCCGUCGUUGUUGCCUCUUCUUCGGACGAGGAGAGCUCGGCGAGGUUGCGCCGGUAACCACUGGAGAAGAAGGGAUGUGGCGGCAGCCACUCCUCCCCGCGACGGCGCUGUGACCAGAGGUGGGGAUCGAGCAGUGGUGCGGGGGGUCAGAGGAUCCGACCCGUAUCCGUAACCGCUCUCCCCCUCUGCUUUUUGCGGUGCGGCGGUGGAUGGGCCGGGUAAAGGCCGUGCAAGCCUAGGCCCAGGUGCAUAUGGGUCCUUGUGGUGGCUAUGUUUUUUUUUCUUUUUCUCUAUCUGUUUUUAUUAGUCUAGUACUAAUUAUUGUAUCAGUGCAGUUUUAGACUAUGUUUAGUACUGUUUAGUACUUAGUUUGACUACUACUUACAUUUAGUCCAGUUCUAGAUUUACUCUAGUUUAGGAUUUGUGUAAUUAUUGGUGUGUUUAUAUUAUGCAAAGGCUUGAUAAUAUAAAUAAAGUACCAAAUUUCAUUCGGGAAGAAUGACAUGUUCCAUGUGUUUACCACAUCUCAUUUUUAUUGAACAUGUUUUUGCGAUUGAGAUCUUCUCCCGCAUAUCAAAGUUGCAAAUUUUUGAAUAUUUCUCCCUCAUCUUAUUUGGAAUCACAAGGUAAUGAGUUGUGAUCUACUUCUCAUUUGUAGACUAUCUUCUCUUACUGUGAGGUCUACACUUUGUCAUUCUCGACAAACGAUUACCUCCAACGUGUAUUCCUUAUAUCUGAAUUGUAGCAUACACAAGGUAAUGACAAUGUAGCCUAUUACUGUGAGAUCUAAAGUGAUCUUCAUAGUGUUAUGUUCACACAAUUGAGGUUGAGAAUUUUUCAAGUUUACACUUGAGUAUCAAAAUUUUGCAUUCUUAUUACACAACCAUGAUGGUUUUUAAUUUACUACCCGUAAAUUAAUUAUCUCUGGUUUCCCAUGUAGGCGAAGAUGACUGCCAAAGAGUUUGAGGAGCUUGCUCUCGAUGGCCACAAUUACCCUACAUGGGCUAUGGACAUCAAGAUCACUCUUGCAUCCCGUGGGAUAGCGCAUGCAAUACAACCCCCGGAGACUCCUCUCCCGGCUGGGGCCACGCCGCUGACAGAAUAGCAGAACUAUGCUGCUUUAUUAAUCAUAAGGCACCAUAUUCAUCCAGAUCUCAAGUCUGAGUAUUUACAUGAGGAAUCUCCUAGUACUCUGUUCCUGGCACUCAAAAUGAGGUAUGAACAGCAGAAGGCAGUAGUCCUGCUCGAAGCACUUCAUGAUUGGACUCAUCUCCGUCUUCAGGAUUUCAAGUCUAUUGGUGAGUACACUCAUGCUGUUCAUAAGAUAUGUUCCAAACUGCGCUUUUGUGAGAAGGAACCUACUGAGGGGGAGAAGAUAGAGAAAACUUUGUCUACUAUGCUUCCUUCAGAUAGGAUCCUCCAACAGCAAUACCGUGCUCGUAACUACACUGUCUAUUCCGAGCUUAUUCACAUGUUACUUCAGGCUGAAAAGCAUGAUGAGCUACUUGCUAAGAAUGGCUCUCAGCGCCCAGUUGGGGCACAACCUUUACCUGAAGUUCAUCUGAAUGUUGCAAAUAGACAAAAGUUUAAUGGUACCUCUUGAGGUAAACAAUCCAAUUCCGAGCAUAAGCGAAAGCGCAAUGGGAACAGGAGAUCUAGACACCCAGGCAAGGGAAAAGGCGCUUCAAAGCCCGGGUUUGAUAAAUCUAAGCUUUGCAGCAAGUGUGGAUGCUACACGCAUUCUACUGAAAAGUGCACAAUGCCCAAGCAUCUGGUUAUGCUGUACCAGCAAUCUCAGGGACGCAAAGCACCUCAAGGGAAAAGGUUUGAAGCCAACUUCAACCUUCAUCCGGAUAGCGCAAAAGGAGCUGGUGAUUCGCACGAUGUCCCUCUUGGACCGAGCAACGCCAUGGUUCCUUACCUGCCUGAGGAUACUGCUGAAAUGGAGAACACGUUGAUUGAGUACAUCGCAAACAACAUGUUUGGCGACUUCAAUUAGUCCCUCAAUCUCCUUAGUGAUCCACUUAAUUAUGUCCAUUUGUGAUGAUUGUAAUAAGAACAUAAGUUUAUUGUUGUCUUUAUAUUGUAUUGUAUCAGCACAUUUGAUAUAAUAAAGAUUGUAUUCUGUAUAUUACUUUGAGGUUUUCUUAUUGAAAAUUCUUUGUUUUAUAUAGUUUUCUACGGGGACAAUCUGAUGGAAGAGGAAUUAUGCCUUGUGGACAAUGGUACCACAAACUCUAUACUGAGGGAGAUGAAAUAUUUCCUAACUCUGAAAAAGAUGAAUGGAGAUAUUCUAACUAUCGCUGGACGCGAUACAAUGAUUGUUGGUACUGGACGUGCCAUAUUCACCCUCCCAAGCGGUACAAAAAUGACGUUCGCAAACUGCACAUCGUUUGUCCAGAUCAACACCUCAUUGUUCAAUGUUCAUAUGAAAUGGGUGUUUGUUCUGCCCAAUCGCCAAAGGAUGUGGUAAACCUUGCCCAAAACAAACUUUCCAGAUUGCAGACCAUACCUUUCGGCGUCGCUCCUGAUUAGUCGAGCUAUCUCCCUGUUGCAUCUGUUUUUUUCCUUCAAAUCAAGUUGGUGUGCACCCUAUAGGCUGAUUUAACUGACAAGAGCCCUUUAGCAUCAAAGUGCCAAGCUACGAAGUCAUCGUGCUGCUCAAAAACAGGAAUGGGCAGAAUCAAAUUAGCAUCCUCGUGGAGAAAAGUUUGUCUGACCAGAUUCUUGUCCUAGGAGUUCAAAUUAGGGUUCAUCAGCUUCGAGACAAAAGUGACCAGAUUCUGCCCCGUCCAGUCAGCGGUUUCCUCGAAUGAUUUCGUGGCAACAAAGGAUCAGACCAGAUUCUUAUAUUCUCGCUAGAACCCACUCUUCAGAUAUAUCCUUCCUUGAUGAUUUCAAGCCCUCGAAGAAUACUUUGCCAGGUAUAGCUUAUCCCGGCUGUGGGGGCAGCAGAGAGGAUGUCGUCAUCAUGGUAGUAUUUGGCUCGUAACACUCUUGCACAAAGGGAUUCCGGAGCUUGGAGAAGCCACCACGCUUGCCUCGCAAGCAGUGCAAGGUUGAAAAAAUACAAGUCCCUGAAACCGAGACCCCCCACAAUCUUUGGGUAGCUUCAUCUUUUCCCAAUCACCCAGUGCAUUUGUUCUCGUCUUGUUGUUGCAACCUCCAAUACUUGCAUAUCAUGUUGUCGAGCUCAUCACAGAGGCCUUCGAUAAGGUCAAAACAACUCAUAGCAUAUGCUGGGAUUGCUUGGGCAACAGACUUCACUAAGGUCUCCUCCCCUGCAUGGAGAGGAAUCGUUCCAGCCAUCCUUGUAUUCUAGCCCACAACCGAACCUUUAUAUUCUCGAAGCACUGCAUGAUAGACCGACCAACACACUGUUGGGAAUGUUGCAUGGGAAACAAUUUUUUUCCUACGCUCAUCAAGAUCAAUCUAGGAGAUGGACAUCUACGAGAGGAGAGAUUGGAUCUACAUACCCUUGUAAAUCGUUAAGCGAAAGAGUAUACCACACGGUUGAUGUAGUCGUACUCUUCACGAUCCGAUCAUAGUCCAAUCCAAUCUAGGGACGAAUAGACGACACCUACAUGUUCAGCACACGUACGGCUCGAUGACGUCUACUCGUUCUUGAUCCAGGAAGCGAGGGAGGAGAAGUAGAUGGGAUCUCAACCAGCACAACGGCGUGGUGGAGCAAUCCCAUUAGGGCUUCGCCAAGCGCCUCUGGAACUACGAACGAGGAAGAACGAGAGAGAGAGAGAGAGAGAGAGAGAGAGAGAGAGAGAGAGAGAGGGCCACAGGGCGUGGGAAAUGUUGUGUCCAGCCUUUGCCCCUCCUCCCCACUAUAUAUAGGGGUGUUGGAGGGCUGGGGGCGCAACCCUUGCCCCUCCUCCAAGGAGGGGGCGCGGCCAAAGGGGAGGAGUGCCCUCCAAGCCAAGUGGAGGGCCCUUCCCCUUAGGGUUUUCCUUCCCCUAGGCGGAUGGGCCUUACGGGGUUGGUGCGCAUGGCCUAAAAUAAGGCUAGGAUGCCCCCCUUACAGCCCACGAAACCAUUUUAUGCUACACAUACGGGAUGCUAAUUCAAAGUACUUCCAUCGACCACUUCAACAAAUACAUCGGGUUGCAAGGCCUUGCCUCAACCCAUGAUAUUACCAAACUACUCACAGGUGGAGAUCGAAUCACACGAAGAACUCAUUGAAUAACACAUCAUGAAAGACCGAUUGCUUGAUAAUAUAUCUUACAAUGGAUGCUGGAUGUGAUGCGUGAUUACAAAGUAUGACUAGAUGACUGAGAACUAUGAUGGUGAUGAAGGUGGUUGCUAAGGUUGAUGGAGAUGACUGCUAUGAAGAUGACGAUGUGGCGACUUGUUCUAUUGCUCAUUUGGCGUCAGGCCUUUUAUAAAGGUUGUUCAGGUGGAUCAGACGCAUCAGUUGGCACACCAUACGACUAUCUGUAUGAGCGGGAUUGGUCAUAUGGAAUGUUGUCUUUUGCUUAGUUUCCUUUAGUGCGCCUCUCACUUGAUCUCCUCUUUACUCUUUUCCAUGUAUUGGCCUGAUUUCGUCCAUAAAUAGUCCAUUUCCCUUGGAAAUAAAAUAAAGAUCGGAUAUUUGGAAUCCUUUGUAUUCAUUAGUCAUUAGUUGCAAUAUCAAAGCGAAUAUCUUGGUUUUUAUGAAAUAUCUCAGUUUAAACUCAGGUUAGAGGGGUGUAAAAAUAACGCUCAUCACUGUUGUCACCCAACAGAGGAAACCGGUGCUCACACCCCUACCUGGGCGCACGCCACGUACUCGGAUUGUGUGAACAAAGUAGUCAGAACGAACGAAUGACGCAGACAUGCCGACCCGGCCUCACCCGAUGCAUGUAGAGCAGCGCACGAGAUGACACACAUAGACGGAACGAAAACAAUCGUAGAAAGGUGCCUCGAGCACGCCCGCGACCCAUGCUUCGUGGACCCUUGCGGGAAUCUGAUGGGUGCGUAACGUCCGUGAAGAUCAGACGACCGAGUGUGCUACAGUGAGGCAUCCGACGACGGGGAGGUAACUCGCGAGCGUCGAUGCCCCAGGAGGCGGGUACUUCAUCAUACUUUAUAGGAGUAACUAGACAAUACCCCGCACGUUGCAACAGGAUGGUAGUGUAAUAAACAAUUUGAAAGAGAGGGGCACACGGUAAGGAGGAAAAUAGUAAGAAAAUAAAAAUAAGAAAUGUUUUGCAGCAGAAGAUGGCUUAGAUUUAAUGUAACUCUGAAAUAGAGUAGUGAGGAUGACUCUCUCUCCACAUUGCUGCGGUAAUUUUGUUAAAAAAUGCGUAAGUAGUUGACAAAAAUAAUUAAAUCUAAUGAAAAGAAAGUAUAAGCUUAAAAAUCAAUAAAAGAAAGUCUCUAAAAAUAGAACAAAAACUUUUGAAUUACAGUUAAAAAUAUCAUUUCGAACAAAAAUGUGAAGGAUGCUAACAUGAAUAUAUGAUGUGGCAUUGUUACGUGCAUAGAGUAAUGCAAAAAUAAUCGUAAUUUAUAAGUUAAAUGCAUGACUCUUAUGUGGCAGAUUUUGCAUGGUUUAAUGGAAGAGAAGACUUUAAAUGCAUUGCUUAGUGCGACAUUGAGGUGGACACUUUGCAUACCGAGAGAACUGGAACCAAAAUAUAAGUUAGUGUCAUCCAGCAACAUCUAUCCAUCUCUAUGCCUAUGUUUAAUGUUACUACCUGCCCUCUUUAAGUUAAUUUAUUUAUACUUGGCAACUGCCAGGUAUUUCUGCUGCUAUGCUAGCUACUACAUACAACAGUAUAUUCAUCAUGUUCUCAUUGCUACUGAUAAAUUCUCCAAGCAAAGUAUUCAAUUGAAAUGACGACUAUAAACAACUAAAACUUACAAAUAUUCUUUGACCUCCUAGUGUUGAAUUAAUAAAUUUGAGCUUAUACUUAACAUUGUAGAUUGUUGCGUCCCCCUACGCUCUUGGGUUAUCAAAGAAUUCUCUAUAACUCAUCGUAUCAUACCCCAUUAGGGUGUAUGCCUCUAAGACGUCAACCCCAACUAUGCCACCGUGUCAAUGAUGGUCGACGAUCUGCCAGCAUCCCUCGCCGAGCUUGCGGCAGAUCGCAAGACUUCCUCACCAUGUUGUGGGAGCACCUCUAGCACGCACAUGAGCGUAUGAAGGCACAUGUGGACAAGCGUCGCAAGGACCGUGAAUUUUCCGUCGACAAGGGCGUCCUUGUAACACCCUCGAUGCGACUAUAUCUCACACGUGUCGAGGCAUAGAAGCAUAAUCGCAUUGAAGGCAUAUGUCGCAAGUCAGGCAAUCAUCACAAACAUCCCAUGUAAUAUAGAUGAAUAAAAGGGAUAACAUAGUUGGCUUACACUCGCCACGCUAAUCAAGUACAUAAAUAACAUACAUCAUCCAAACACUCAUGGCCCGAGAACGGCGCCAAAAUGAAAGAUAACCCAACAAGCGAUAUGGUCCCGAUCACCCCCAACAGGGCACCACUACUAAUCAUUAGGAAAGGAAACAUAGUAACGUUGAGAGUCCUCGUCGAACUCCCACUUGAGCUCGAGCGCGUCACCUGGAGCGGAAUCACCUGGACUUGCAUCUGGUGUAAUAGUAAUCUGUGAGCCACAGGGACUCAGCAAUCUCGCACCCUCGCGAUCAAGACUAUUUAAGCUUAUAGGUAAGGCAAGGUAAAUAUAUAUGUGGAGCUGCAGCAAGCGACUAGCAUAUAUGGUGGCUAACUUAUUCGCAAAAGAGAGCGAUAAGAGGAGGCAAAGCGCGAGCGAGAAACUAGAGGACAACCUGCGCAAGCAUUACUCCAACACCGUGUCCUCCCGAGACGUUCCGAUCAGACUCGGUACCUCGGUUCUUCAAGACACUUUGACAGGUUAAAACAAGACCAGCAACACCGCCCGAAUGUGCCGACAAAUCCCGAUAGGAGCUGCACAUAUCUCGUUCUCAGGGCACACUCAGAUUGUCCAAACUUCCGGUAGGCCAGCCCAGAGUUGCCCCUGGUGGCCACCGGCGGCUGACGAGGUGGACCAACACUCAGAGGAGCACUGGCCCGGGGGGGUUUAAAAUAAGAUGACCCUCGGGCUCCGGAAACCCAAGGGAAAAGGGGCUAGGUGGCAAAUGGUAAAACCAAGGUUGGGCAUUGCCGGAAAAGCUUUAAUCAAGGCGAACUAUCAAGGGGUUCCCAUUAUAACUGAAAGAACAUGCGGUGCCCCCAUGUUUGGUUUUGGUAAUUGAUGACAAUCUCUAUGGACUAAUGGUUGCCUUGAGUUAUAUUUGAAGGUUUUGUCCAUAGGCUUUUCUUGGAGUACAUGUGUUGGUUUCAAGGAGAGUUUGUGUCGACCAAGGUGCUAUUCAAGGAAUUACCUAAAGAUUGGUCUUGUGAGAGGUUGAUCAAGACUGAGUUAAAGAGUGAAUCAAGUUGAUCAACCCACAAAGCGUAGAAGAUGUACCGAGAGGGAUCAAGUGAUCCCAUGGUAUGGUUAGAAUUGUCAAUUACGCUUUGUGUACUAACCCAUGGUCUUCGUGAGAGUUCUUUGUGGGGUUAGGUUGCGGUGUGCAAGUUCAAGUGGAGCAUCACGAAGAAAUCAAAUGCUUGAAGCUUGCCGUCCUUUGUGGUGAUAAUGAGCUUGUGAAGAUGUGCGGAAGAGUGGCUCACCCAUAGUGGAGUAUGGGGGAGCAAUCAACUAGUCUUCAUCGAGUCAACACAAUCAAGAAAGGUGGUCCAACUUGAGGGAGUCAAGAUCGUCAUCAUCUAGCUCAAGUGGACCAUGUGCAAGGCAAAGGUUUGCCCUUGAUAGGUUUUCUAUUUUACCGGUCUCAUGAUGGUAGUUGGGAGACCGGGUUAUAGGAUCGAUUACCGUACUAUCAAGGGGGGCCCUCGAUGAGUUGCUUGAUCGUAUCGUUCGUUGAGAGCUCAAACCAUUGCAUCCUUGCAUCAUCUUUCUUGGUUCUUGUUUGGUUCUCUUUGUGAGUUCUAGAGCUUAUGGUCAUCUUGAUGACAAGCUCGAGUUCAUCGAAGACGGAGUUCACAUGCAUCUUCUAUGAUGUUUUCGAUGUUGGAGGUUUUGCCGGUUCUUCUUGGUUGGAGGUUUCACUCCUCUUUUUGUUGGCAUACCUCCCCUGCCUCUUCUUACUAUAACCAGUCGCUGUUUUGAUGCUACUCGUCGUCUUGUUUUCAACAAGCUUGAGUUUGCUCAAUUCGGAGCUCAUUUGCAGAAGUUAUGGCAGUUCUGGUUUUCUGGAGUGUGGUUUUUCUCCUGGACCCAGCGGUAGUACCGCGGGCCACAGCGGUAGUACCGCUGAGGCUCACUAAGCGGCAGUACCGCUCCUCGGAGCGGUAGUACCGCUUGAUGGCCUCAGCAGCAGUGCCUCUGCGGAUCCGUGCUCCUACCGCCUCGACACAGUGGUUGGAGCGGUAGUACGGCUGCAGUCCACUAAGCGGUAGUACCGCUCCUCGGAGCGGUAGUACCGCUUGCUGGGCUCAGCCGCAGUACCGCUGUGGCUUCGUGCUCCUUCCGCUUCGAUUCGAGUGUGCAUUUUCUCAUGUCGGGUUUUGUGGUACUAGCUGCGGUAGUAGUGGCGGUAGUGCUGCUUGUGAGCGGUAGUACCGCCCUACCUCCGCGGUAGUACCGCUCUGGGUCCCAGCCCCAGCCCUUUUCUUCUGGCGCGGCAGUACCGCUGAGGGGGAGCGGUAGUACCGCUUACGAGCGGUAGUACCGCCCUGCCUCCGCGGUAGUACCGCUCUCUGCGGGGCUGAGUGGGGGUUAACGGUUGGAUUUUCCCCCUCCUAUAAAAGGGGGUCUUCUUCCCCGUUGAACCUCAACCCUUGAGCUCGUGUUCUUCCCCCAUUGUUGACCUUCUUCGAGCUUGCUAACUCUCAAUCCCUCCAUGGAUUCUUGCUAGUUUUUGAGGGAAAAGAGAGAGGAGAUCUAGAUCCACAUUUCCACCAAUCACUUCCUCCUCUAUGUGAGGGGAACCCCUUGGAUCUAGAUCUUGGAGUUCUUGGUGUUCUCCUUCUUGUUCUUCCUCUCAUUUUCCUCCCUAGCAUUAGUUGCUUCGGUGGGAUUUGAGAGAGAAGGACUUGGGCACUCCGUGUGCCCUUGCCAUUGCAUUUGGUGCAUCGGUUUGAGUUCUCCACGUGAUACGUGGAAGUUACAAGUUGAGAAGCUUAUUACUCUUGGGUGCUUGGUACCCUUGAGCUUGUUCCUCUUGGGUGCUUGGGCGCCCUAGACGGUUGUUGGUGUUCGGAGCUCAAUCAUCGUGGUGCAAAGCUCUGGGCAAGCGUCGGGGUCUCCAAUUAGGUUGUGGAGAUCGCCCCGAGCAAUUUGACGGGUACCGGUGACCGCCCCCAAGGGUUGCCAAAGUGUACGGGUUCGGUGACCGCCCCCAAGGGUUGCCAUUUGUACGGGUUCGGUGACCGCCCUCAAGGGUCCCUUAGUGAAAUCACGGCAUCUUGCAUUGUGCGAGAGCGUGAGGAGAUUACGGUGGCCCUAGUGGCUUCUUGGAGAGCAUUGUGCCUCCACACCGCUCCAAACGGAGAUUAGCAUCCGCAAGGGUGUGAACUUCGGGAUACAUCGUCGUCUCCUUGUGCCUCGGUUAUCUCUUACCCGAGCCCUUUACUUAUGCACUUUACUUUGUGAUAGCCAUAUUGUUUCUUGUCAUAUAUCUUGCUAUCACAUAGUUUCUUAUCUUUCUUAGCAUAAGUUGUUGGUGCACAUAGGUGAGCCUAGUUGUUUUAGGUUUUGUGCUUGGCAAAUUAACCGCUAGGUUUAUUCCGCAUUUGUUCAAGCCUAAACCGUAAUUAUUUUAAAACGCCUAUUCACCCCCCUCUAGGCAACAUCCACGAUCUUUCAAUAACCCAACCGCGUAAGGAACGCAAAAUCCGGGAACAUAACACCGAUAUGACGGAAACUAGGGCGGCAAGAGUGGAACAAAACACUAGGCGAGAGGCCGAGCCUUCCACCCUUUACCAAGUAUAUAGAUGCAUUAAGAUAACAUCGCAAUAUAAUGAUAUCCCAACAAGUAAAUAAAUGUUCCAACAAGGAACGGUCUCCAAUCUUCACCUGCAACUAGCAACGCUAUAAGAGGGGCUGAGCAAAGCGGUAACAUAGCCAAUCAAUGGUUUGCUAGGACAUGGUGGGUUAGAGGUUCGACAUGGCAAUUUGGGAGGCUUGAAAGCAAAUGGUAGGCAUCGUAGCAUUGGCAUAGCAAAAGAGCGAGCAAACUAGCAUAGCAAAGAUAGUAGUGAUUUCGAGGGUAUGAUCAUCUUGCCUGCAAAGCUGUCAGAGUUGACUGGAUCCUCGAAAGCAAACUCAAUGGGCUCCUCGUUAGUGAACUCGUCUCCCGGCUCUACCCAAACAAGACAAACAAGCAACAAGGAUACAAUCAACCACAUGCAAGGAUCAAACAAUAUGAUGCAAUGAUGAUAUGCUAUGCGGGAUGCGAUGCGGGAUGCAUAUGCAAGAUGUGACAAGGAGUGCAUGAACCUGGCCUCAACUUGGAAAUCCAAAUGUGCCACUGGAAAGAUGAGAUGAAAUCACUUGAAAACGAUAUAAAGAACGCCGGAAUCGGAGUUACGGUUUGGAAAUGGCAAGCGAUUCAAGUAUGACACCGGUCUGCGAUUUACAGCAAGUAGCCAUCUAAAUGCAAUGAGAUGAACAUGCUACAGCACCCAAACAUGACAACAAAAUACAUGGCAGGGAUGCAUUCAAGAUGCUUAACAAAAGUCUAGCACUGAGCUACGGCCAAUUCAUUCAUUAACAGGUUCAAACAAGCAUGGCAAAACUGCACAUGGCAAACAGAUCUCAGACUUAGUGAAAUUAACACUUGUCUGGAAUUUCAGACCAAGUAGCCCACUUCGGAGCAACAAAACAACAUGCUACAGGACCUGAACAUGACAAAGUAAAACAUGGCAUGGAGCUACUCAAAUAGCUUAACAAAAGUCCCUUAGUGACCUUGAGCCAAAAGGGAUCAGAAAAUAUACUAACAAGCAUGUGAAACUAGCAAAAGCAUAAUCAGUUUUCAGACUUAGUGAAAACUGGCACAUGCUGAAACAUAAUUCAAGUAGGCAUGUUAACGAGCUCGAUGCACUCACUAUGGUGCAAGUCAUGACAAGAUAAGCAUACAUCUAUCAAGAACACACAAAACGCAAGCUAGACAUGGCAAGAACAAUGGCAUAGCAUGCACGGACCAACUACAACAUCAUCGGCAAAAUUGCAAACAAAUUGACAAUCUGCCCAGAUUCACAAAGUAGCAAAAGUAGAACUCGAUUGACUCAAGCUAGGGUGCUCCAUAAUUGUAAACAAAGACAUGGAUGGAUAGAGCACUACAAGAUUAAUAAAACAUCCUUACUGAUCAUCCUCAAAAGAGGCAAGGAUCUCUCGGAAACAACGUGAACAUAUGACAACAUGAGAUAAACAGGUCAAGGACUUAGUGGAAAUGCUAAGUCCCUGAAAACAGAAUUACCAAGUGCCUCACUUUGCAAGCUUGCACUAGGCACCACACACAUCACAAAAAUACAUGGGUUGCACCUCUGGAAAGAUGACAAAACCCUUAACAAAACAUAUGUAGAGCAUCGGGGCAUAACAUGCACACAAUAAUCAUGGCAAAAAUGACAAAAACCUAAAUGGAGUAGCAGAUCUGACAAUUAUCUCAAGUAGCACUCUUCUAAGAGCAUUUCGGGCAUCAAGAUGAACUCAAAUGAAAAUGAUGCAAUGGAAUGAAAUGAUGUACUCUCUGAGACGAACAUUUUGAUAUGCUAUAUGCAUGAAUCGGAGCUACGGAUGCAAAGUUACGGAGCUAUGAACAGGAGCAUAUGGAUUAGGGUUUCGGGGCAAAAGUCAACCCGAGGAGAUAUUUUCAGAUCUGGAUCUCGCCGGAGUUACUGUUCAUGCACGGACUUCGAGGAUCGCUGGGGGAACUUGGAGCUCGCUGGAGUUCAUGGAGGAGGCCGACAGGAGGACGAGAAGACGUCCGGGGCGGCGGUGGCGAUGCCGGUGCGGCGGGGCGGNNNNNNNNNNNNNNNNNNNNNNNNNNNNNNNNNNNNNNNNNNNNNNNNNNNNNNNNNNNNNNNNNNNNNNNNNNNNNNNNNNNNNNNNNNNNNNNNNNNNNNNNNNNNNNNNNNNNNNNNNNNNNNNNNNNNNNNNNNNNNNNNNNNNNNNNNNNNNNNNNNNNNNNNNNNNNNNNNNNNNNNNNNNNNNNNNNNNNNNNNNNNNNNNNNNNNNNNNNNNNNNNNNNNNNNNNNNNNNNNNNNNNNNNNNNNNNNNNNNNNNNNNNNNNNNNNNNNNNNNNNNNNNNNNNNNNNNNNCAAUGACGGGGAGGCGGCGGAGCAGCGAGCGCGGUCGGCGGGCGAGGCGGCGGAGAACCGGGUCGCGGGCCCGAUUAGCGGCGCGGGAGGGCCCGCGGCGGAGGCGGACAGAGGCGAUGUGGGGCGCGGGGCGUGGCCAAUGGCGUGGCGACACGUGGCGGCAGCGCGGAGCUUCAGACGUGUUUGGCGCCGUCCGGACGUGUCCGGCGGCGGCGGAUCUGGGAUUUUGGGGUUAGGGACGAGGGGGAUCCGGAUUUCGGGGAAGGGGUCUAUUUAUAGGCAUAGAGGAAGCUAUGAGAGUCCGAAUGAGGUGCGGUUUUUGGCCACGCGAUCAUGAUCGAACGCUCUAGAUGAUGGAGUAGGUUUAGGUGGGUUUUGGGCCAAAUUGGAGGGGUGUUGGGCUGCAACACACACGAGGCCUUUUCGGUCCCUCGGUUAACCGUUGGAGUAUCAAACGAAGUCCAAAUGAUACGAAACUUGACAGGCGGUCUAUCGGUAGUAACCCAAGGCCACUUGGCAAGUCUCGGUCCAAUCCAGAAAUGUUUAAUCCCCACACACGAAAGAAAGCUAGAAAUGACCACCGGAGGAGAACGAAGCGCCGGAAUGCAAAACGGACAACGGGGAAAAUGCUCGAAUGCAUGAGAUGAACACGUAUGCAAAUGCAAUGCACAUGAUGACAUGAUAUGAGAUGCAUGACAACGAUAACAACACACGGAGACAAAAACCCGAACCCGAGAAAAUAAAACAACUUAACGCCGGAAACGACAAGAGUUGGAGUACAAAUUGGGUAAGUUAUAUCCGGGGUGUUACAACACUCCACCACUACGAAAGGAUCUCGUCCCGAGAUCUCGGACUAAAAGAACGCCGGGUACUCAGAACGGAGGUGAUCCUCACGUUCCCAGGUAGCUUCACGGUCGGAAUGGUGUGACCACUUGACUUUGAGAAAUUUGAUUGACUUGUUGCGAGUCUUGCGUUCAGUCUCUUCAAGAAUAGCAACUGGGUGCUCAUGAUAGGAGAGAUCUUCUUGGAGCUCAAUGUCCUCGAAGUUGACGGUGCGGUUAGGAGUCUUGAAGCACUUUCGGAGCUGAGAGACAUGGAACACAUCAUGAACAUUUGCAAAGUUUGAAGGAAGCUCGAGUUGAUAGGCGAGAUCGCCUUUCUUGCUGACAAUCUUGAAAGGUCCCACGUAUCUAGGGGCAAGCUUCCCUUUGAUACCGAAAUGACGAGUGCCUUUCAUAGGAGAGACACGUAGGUAAACAUGAUCUCCGAUCUCGAAAGCCAAAUCAUGGUGCUUACUAUCAUAGUAGCUCUUCUGGCGGGAUUGGGCUGCUUUGAGGUUAUCACGAAUGACUUUGCACAUUUCCUCUGCCUCUGUGAUUAAGUCAUUUCCAAGCAGCUGACGUUCACCGGUUUCAGACCAGUUGAGAGGGGUACGACACUUCCUGCCAUACAGAAUUUCAAAUGGGGCCUUGCCCGAACUUGCUUGAAAACUGUUGUUGUAGGAGAAUUCAGCAUAAGGAAGACAAUCCUCCCACUUCAUGCCGAAGGAGAUCACACAAGCCCUGAGCAUAUCUUCAAGAAUCUGGUUGACACGCUCGACUUGACCGCUAGUUUGAGGGUGGAAAGUUGUGCUGAAGCGGAUGUUGGUGCCCAUGGCCUUCUGAAAAGAAUCCCAAAACUUGGAGGUAAAGAUGCUGCCACGGUCUGAAGAUAUCACUUGAGGGAUACCGUGCAGAGAGACAAUUCGAGAGGUAUAGAGUUUCGCCAAUUGAGCUGCAGUGAUCGACUCCUUGAUAGGCAGAAAAUGAGCCACUUUGGUGAGUUUGUCGAUGACAACGAAUAUAUCAUCAUUGCCACGUUUGGACUUUGGAAACCCAGUCACGAAGUCCAUUUCAAUGUGGUCAAACUUCCAUUCUAGAAUGGCAAGAGGUUGGAGGAGACCUGCUGGCCUUUGGUGUUCUGCCUUCACUCUUUUGUAGACAUCACAUUCAUUCACGAAUUGAGCAAUCUCGCGCUUCAUUUGAGUCCACCAAUAAGCCUGCUUGAGGUCCUGAUACAUCUUCGUGCUCCCAGGGUGGAUGGAGAGGAGAGAAUUAUGAGCCUUGUUCAUGAUCACUUUACGAAGUUCACCUUUGGGCACGACAAUACGAUCUUCGAAGAAGAGAGUAUCCUUGUCAUCAAGGCGGUAGCACUUGUACUUGGGUUGACUCUUGGCAAUCCCAAUCUUUACCUUUUUCACCAUAGCAUCAAGAAGCCGGGCUUGGCGAAUCUGGUCUUCCAAGGUAGGAGAGACUUGAAGGUUGGUGAGGAAACCUUGAGGAACAAUUUGCAGAUUAAGUUUGUGGAAAGCUUCACAAAGCUCGGGUUGAUAAGGCUUAAGAAUCAGACUGUUGCAAUAAGCCUUUCUGCUCAAUGCGUCAGCAAUCACAUUGGCCUUGCCUGGAGUAUACUCGAUACUCGGAUUAUACUCUUGAAUCAUUUCGACCCAUCGAGUUUGCCUGAGGUUGAGAUUAGGCUGAGUGAAGAUGUACUUGAGACUCUUGUGAUCAGUGAAAAUGUCCACUUUUCUUCCCAAUAGAAGAUGUCUCCAAGUCAAAAGAGCAUGCACAACUGCCGCCAACUCGAGAUCAUGAGUGGGGUAGUUCUUCUCAUUAGGCUUCAAUUGGCGAGAGGUAUAAGCAACAACUUUCUUCUCUUGCAUCAACACUGCGCCAAGACCUUGGAGAGAGGCAUCACAAAAGACCUCGUACGGUUUGGAUUCAUCAGGCGGAGUCAGAACUGGAGCCGUGAUCAAUUUCUCUUUCAAAGUGUUGAAAGCAAUGUCACACUCCGGAGACCAAACGUACUUGACGUGCUUCUGGAGAAGAUUUGAGAGAGGCUUCGUGAUCUUAGAAAAGUUUUCAACGAAUCUUCGGCAAUAGCUUGCGAGACCGAGGAAGCUGCGGAGUUGCUUCACGUUCCGAGGAGGUUUCCAAUUCACAAUUGCAGACACCUUCUCAGGAUUCACGGCAAUGCCCUUGGCAGAGAUGAUAUGACCAAGAUAAAGAACCUCAUCGAGCCAAAAUUCACACUUGGAGAACUUGGCGUAGAACUUGUGUUCCCUGAGCUUAUCAAGCACCAAACGCAAGUGCUUGGCAUAAUCUUCCUUGUUCUUCGAGAAAACCAGAAUGUCGUCGAGAUAGACCAAAACGAAGUCAUUGGUGUAGGCGUUGAAGAUGAAGUUCAUCAUGCGAGAGAACGUCGGAGGAGCGUUGACGAGGCCAAAAGACAUGACAGUGUAUUCAUAUGAACCAUAGCUUGUUCUGAAAACCGUCUUGGGAAUAUCUUGCUCACGGAUUCGAAUCUGAUGAUAACCCAUAAGGAGAUCAAGCUUGGAGAAUACUUGGGCACCUUUGAGUUGUUCGAACAGCUCAUUGAUGUUAGGAACUGGGUAUUUGUUCUUGAUGGUCUUCUUGUUCAAUGGACGGUAAUCAACACAAAGUCGGUCCAUUCCAUCCUUCUUCUUCACAAAAAGAACACCACAACCCCACGGAGAAGAACUAGGCCGGACGAGACCCAUUUUCUCUUGAAUAUCGAGUUGCUUCUUCAGCUCCUUCAACUCUUCAGGUCCGAGCUUGUAAGGACGCUUGCACACAGGUUCCGUAUCGGGCUCAAGAUCAAUUACAAAUUCAACUGGACGGUGCGGAGGCAUUCCUGGAAGAUCUUCUGGAAAGACGUCUUGAUAUUCGCAAACGACUGGAAUUUGCGAGAUAGCAUCGAGUUCACCCUUCUCAUUGAGAGAAAACAGACGGAUUAUCCCGAGCGGCAAAGACAAUUACAUCCUCAGACGAAUGAGUCAAUUGAAUCUGCCUGGCUGCACAAUCAAGCUGAGCCUUGUGCUUAGAAAGCCAAUCCAUCCCGAGAAUAAGAUCAAUAUCCGAGUUACUAAGAACCAUUGGAGAGGACAAGAACUUAUAGUCACCAAAAGUGAUUGUAACAUCCGGAACACAUACUCGAGAUGUCAUUUGACGGGCCGGAGAAACAAUAGCCAAUGGUUUCGACAACACUUGAGUAACAAAAUCAUGCUUAGAUGCAAAAGGUCUCGACAUGAAAUAAUGCAAUGCACCAGUGUCAAAAAGAACUCUUGCAGGAAUAUCGUUAAUAGGAAGGUUACCCAUGAUGACAUCUGAUGAAUCCUCUACCUGAGCUGCAUUCACCAUAUUGACCUUGGCGUGCUUGGGGUUAUGCUUGACCACAGCUGUACUUGCCGAUCUGACAGGAGGAGGAGGAGGAAGACGCCUCUGGUUGAAACACUUGUUGGCAUAGUGACCCUUCUCUUGGCACUUGUUGCACGUGACCUCUGAAAGCGGACGGUGGUACGGAGCACUCGAUCUUGGAGGUUGAGACGAAGUCUUGUUUUGAAAGCCAGGGUUGGGUGGGUGGGAAGAACCACUGCCACCUUUGCUCUUCUGCUGAUACGGCUGACGGAACGGAGGAGGAGGAAACCAAUACUUCUGCUGCUUGGCCACUUGAGUAGAGGAAGAAGGAGUAACAUCUCUGACUCGCUUCUUGGAAGCAUCACACCUCAACUGAGCGGCCUCUUGCUUCAAUGCCAUGUUGUAGAACUCAUCGUACCUCAAGGGUUCAAAGAGAACAAGAGCGAGCUGAAUUUCUUCUCUGAGACCACCCCUGAACUGGUAUAUCAUGCUCUUCUCAUCAGGGACGUCCUGCUUGGCAAAGCGGGCGAGCUUCUGGAACAACUUGUUGUAGUCAUAGACAGACAAAGAGCCUUGCUUCAGGUUGCGGAAUUCCUCACGCUUACUUUCAACCACGCUCUGAGGGAUGUGAUGAGCUCGGAAAUCUUGACGGAAUUCAUCCCAAGUGAUCACACGUCCACCUCUGGAAUCCUUGUACUGCUGGAACCAUUCUGCAGCUUGAUCUUUGAGUUGGAAGGAAGCGAACUUGACAAAGUCCUCAAGCCUGACGUUACUGCACUCGAAAUGCUUGCACAGAUCCACGAGCCAAUCGUCAACAUCGGUUGCCUCAACACAAUUGCUGAAAGUCUUUGGCCCAUUAGCAAGGAACUGGUUGAGUGUAGCAAAGUGAUUCUGAUUGUUGCCUUGAUUCCCUUGGUUGCCAUGAUUGCGCUCUUGGAGAAUUUGCAUGAUCAACUAUGUGUUUGCAUUGGUUGCGGCCAUCACAGCUUGCCAUGCCUCCGGAGGAGGUGGAGGUGGUGGCGGAUCAGGAUUCGGAGUCGUGCGCGUUGGAUGAGCCAUCCUGAAGAGGUUGACAUCCAUUAGCACAUUGAUAAACAAAAUAUUGAAGCUGAAUCCAACGGAAUGAAAAUUGCAACAUAUGGUCUUCACAUCUGAACAAAAUGAACGAAUGCAUUCCUCUUGAAAUGGUCACAUAUCCAUAAAUGAGAAGCCACGUAGAAUUAAGGUAGAGAAAUAAAUCAACAAGGUACGGAUCAAGAACGAAUAAUCGGUAAGAAAUCCCAAUCUCAAACCAAUAUCCGUGGAAGAAGAACUAGAGCUACGAGAAUUCCCACCUAUGAAACUCCCGAACCUUUCCGGUUAUGCAAUCAGGUGUUGGGGAUACAGGGGAAGCAUAAUAUCUCACCCAAACUAGCAAAUCCUACAUCCAGCUGUAUCCAUCCUACAACACAUAACCGAGAAAAACUUUGGAAACCAUCUACCUCAACCUUCGAAAAGCAUCCGUUAUACAAGUUAUGGCGAUACUCCCGAACUCCCGUCCCAGUACUGGGUGGCGUUGAGGUUAUCUCACCAACGAACUGCAUAAACGAGAUUUUCGAUGUCGGCGUACUAAACUCAGGUAUUCCAGAAUUGCAACGAUAAAAUUAUGAUGACAACACCUCAGAGCUCAACUCCCCGGGACACUUCCACUAAACCCCUGACAGGAGGCACCAAGACAAUGUUCUCAUCAUAAAACCAUCGGAACGAUUCCAAGAUACCCGCGUGAUCCUAAAAUUUUUUUAGUGAAAUUUGAGAAGAGAAGAGUCAAAACUCUACGUCAGGAUGCCUUACCAGAGCGAUGAGGAGACUGGGAAGUAAAAAGAAUUCCUAAACUCUCCGAUAUAUAAUUCCUAAAUGACUCAAAACAUUUUUCUAGACACAACUCGGCUGCUAAAAACAAUCAAGCAAUGGGGCUCCUAAGGUCGGGGAAGGCUUUGAUUACCAACUUGUAACACCCUCGAUGCGACUAUAUCUCACACGUGUCGAGGCACGACUUAGAGGCAUAAUCGCAUUGAAGGCAUAUGUCGCAAGUCAGGCAAUCAUCACAAACAUCCCAUGUAAUAUAGAUGAAUAAAAGGGAUAACAUAGUUGGCUUACACUCGCCACGUCAAUCAAGUACAUAAAUAACAUACAUCAUCCAAACACUCAUGGCCCGACUACGGCGCCAAAAUGAAAGAUAACCCAACAAGCAACAUGGUCCCGAUCACCCCCAACGGGGCACCACUACUGAUCAUCAGGAAAGGAAACAUAGUAAGUUGAGAGUCCUCGUCGAACUCCCACUUGAGCUCGAGCGCGUCACCAGGAGCGGAAUCACCUGGACCUGCAUCUGGUGUAAUAGUAAUCUGUGAGCCACAGGGACUCAGCAAUCUCGCACCCUCGCGAUCAAGACUAUUUAAGCUUAUAGGUAAGGCAAGGUAAAUAUAUAUGUGGAGCUGCAGCAAGCGACUAGCAUAUAUGGUGGCUAACUUAUUCGCAAAAGAGAGCGAUAAGAGGAGGCAAAGCGCGAGCGAGAAACUAGAGGACAACCUGCGCAAGCAUUACUCCAACACCGUGUCCACUUCCCGGACUCCGCCGAGAAGAGGCCAUCACGGUAACACACUCGGUUGAUUCAUUUUAAUUAAGUUAAGGUUCAAGUUAUCUACAACCGGACAUUAACAAAUUCCCAUCUGCCCAUAACCGCGGGCACGGCUUUCGAAAGUUCAAAUCCCUGCAGGGGAGUCCCAACUUAGCCCAUGACAAGCUCUCACGGUCAACGAAGGAAUAGACCUCCUCCCGAGACGUUCCGAUCAGACUCGGUACCUCGGUUCUUCAAGACACUUUGACAGGUUAAAACAAGACCAGCAACAUCGCCCGAAUGUGCCGACAAAUCCCGAUAGGAGCUGCACAUAUCUCGUUCUCAGGGCACACUCAGAUUGUCCAAACUUCCGGUAGGCCAGCCCAGAGUUGCCCCUGGUGGCCACCGGCGGCUGACGAGGUGGACCAACACUCAGAGGAGCACUGGCCCGGGGGGGUUUAAAAUAAGAUGACCCUCGGGCUCCGGAAACCCAAGGGGAAAGGGGCUAGGUGGCAAAUGGUAAAACCAAGGUUGGGCAUUGCUGGAAAAGCUUUAAUCAAGGCAAACUAUCAAGGGGUUCCCAUUAUAACCCAACCGCGUAAGGAACGCAAAAUCCGGGAAACUAGGGCGGCAAGAGUGGAACAAAACACUAGGCGAGAGGCCGAGCCUUCCACCCUUUACCAAGUAUAUAGAUGCAUUAAGAUAACAUCGCAAUAUAAUGAUAUCCCAACAAGUAAAUAAAUGUUCCAACAAGGAACGGUCUCCAAUCUUCACCUGCAACUAGCAACGCUAUAAGAGGGGCUGAGCAAAGCGGUAACAUAGCCAAUCAAUGGUUUGCUAGGACAUGGUGGGUUAGAGGUUUGACAUGGCAAUUUGGGAGGCUUGAAAGCAAAUGGUAGGCAUCGUAGCAUUGGCAUAGCAAAAGAGCGAGCAAACUAGCAUAGCAAAGAUAGUAGUGAUUUCGAGGGUAUGAUCAUCUUGCCUGCAAAGCUAUCAGAGUUGACUGGAUCCUCGAAAGCAAACUCAACGGGCUCCUCGUUAGUGAACUCGUCUCCCGGCUCUACCCAAACAAGACAAACAAGCAACAAGGAUACAAUCAACCACGUGCAAGGAUCAAACAAUAUGAUGCAAUGAUGAUAUGCUAUGCGGGAUGCGAUGCGGGAUGCAUAUGCAAGAUGUGACAAGGAGUGCAUGAACCUGGCCUCAACUUGGAAAUCCAAAUGUGCCACUGGAAAGAUGAGAUGAAAUCGCUUGAAAACGAUAUAAAGAACGCCGGAAUCGGAGUUACGGUUUGGAAAUGGCAAGCGAUUCAAGUAUGACACCGGUCUGCGAUUUACAGCAAGUAGCCAUCUAAAUGCAAUGAGAUGAACAUGCUACAGCACCCAAACAUGACAACAAAAUACAUGGCAGGGAUGCAUUCAAGAUGCUUAACAAAAGUCUAGCACUGAGCUACGGCCAAUUCAUUCAUUAACAGGUUCAAACAAGCAUGGCAAAACUGCAUAUGGCAAACAGAUCUCAGACUUAGUGAAAUUAACACUUGUCUGGAAUUUCAGACCAAGUAGCCCACUUCGGAGCAACAAAACAACAUGCUACAGGACCUGAACAUGACAAAGUAAAACAUGGCAUGGAGUUACUCAAAUAGCUUAACAAAAGUCCCUUAGUGACCUUGAGCCAAAAGGGAUCAGAAAAUAUACUAACAAGCAUGUGAAACUAGCAAAAGCAUAAUCAGUUUUCAGACUUAGUGAAAACUGGCACAUGGUGAAACAUAAUUCAAGUAGGCAUGUUAACGAGCUCGAUGCACUCACUAUGGUGCAAGUCAUGACAAGAUAAGCAUACAUCUAUCAAGAACACACAAAAUGCAAGCUAGACAUGGCAAGAACAAUGGCAUAGCAUGCACGGACCAACUACAACAUCAUCGGCAAAAUUGCAAACAAAUUGACAAUCUGCCUAGAUUCACAAAGUAGAAAAGUAGAGCUCGAUUGACUCAAGCUAGGGUGCUCCAUAAUUGUAAACAAAGACAUGGAUGGAUAGAGCACUGCAAUAUUAAUAAAACAUCCUUACUGAUCAUCCUCAAAAGAGGCACGGAUCUCUCGGAAACAACGUGAACAUAUGACAACAUGCGAUAAACAGGUCAAGGACUUAGUGGAAAUGCUAAGUCCCUGAAAACAGAAUUACCAAGUGCCUCACUUUGCAAGCUUGCACUAGGCACCACACACAUCACAAAAAUACAUGGGUUGCACCUCUGGAAAGAUGACAAAACCCUUAACAAAACAUAUGUAGAGCAUCGGGGCAUAACAUGCACACAAUAAUCAUGGCAAAAAUGACAAAAACCUAAAUGGAGUAGCAGAUCUGAUAAUUAUCUCAAGUAGCCCUCUUCUAACAGCAUUUCGGGCAUCAAGAUGAACUCAAAUGAAAAUGAUGCAAUGGAAUGAAAUGAUGUACUCUCUGAGACGAACAUUUUGAUAUGCUAUAUGCAUGAAUCGGAGCUAUGGAUGCAAAGUUACGGAGCUAUGAGCAUGAGCAUAUGGAUUAGGGUUUCGGGGCAAAAGUCAACCCGAGGAGAUAUUUUCAGAUCUGGAUCUCGCCGGAGUUACUGUUCAUGCACGGACUUCGAGGAUAGCCGGGGGAACUUGGAGCUCGCCGGAGUUCGUGGAGGAGGCCGGCCGAAGGACGGGAAGACGUCCGGGGCGGCGGUGACGAUGCCGGUGCGGCGGGUGGCGUUGCGGGGCGCCGGCGACCCGAGCUCGGCGCGGCGUCCGGUGGUGGCGUGNNNNNNNNNNNNNNNNNNNNNNNNNNNNNNNNNNNNNNNNNNNNNNNNNNNNNNNNNNNNNNNNNNNNNNNNNNNNNNNNNNNNNNNNNNNNNNNNNNNNNNNNNNNNNNNNNNNNNNNNNNNNNNNNNNNNNNNNNNNNNNNNNNNNNNNNNNNNNNNNNNNNNNNNNNNNNNNNNNNNNNNNNNNNNNNNNNNNNNNNNNNNNNNNNNNNNNNNNNNNNNNNNNNNNNNNNNNNNNNNNNNNNNNNNNNNNNNNNNNNNNNNNNNNNNNNNNNNNNNNNNNNNNNNNNNNNNNNNNNNNNNNNNNNNNNNNNNNNNNNNNNNNNNNNNNNNNNNNNNNNNNNNNNCCGAUUAGCGGCGCGGGAGGGCCCGCGGCGGAGGCGGACAGAGGCGAUGUGGGGCGCGGGGCGUGGCCAACGGCGUGGCGACACGUGGUGGCGGCGCGGAGCUUCGGACGUGUCCGGCGCCGUCCGGACGUGUCCGGCGGCGGCGGAUCUGGGAUUUUGGGGUUAGGGACGAGGGGGAUCCAGAUUUCGGGGAAGGGGUCUAUUUAUAGGCAUAGAGGGAGCUAGGAGAGUCCGAAUGAGGUGUGGUUUUUGGCCACGCGAUCGUGAUCGAACGCUCUAAAUGAUGGAGCAGGUUUAGGUGGGUUUUAGGCCAAAUUGGAGGGGUGUUGGACUGCAACACACACGAGUCCUUUUCGGUCCCUCGGUUAACCGUUGGAGUAUCAAACGAAGUCCAAAUGAUAAGAAACUUGACAGGCGGUCUACCGGUAGUAACCCAAGGCCGCUUGGCAAGUCUCGGUCCAAUCCGGAAAUGUUUAAUCCCCACACACGAAAGAAAGCUAGAAAUGACCACCGGAGGAGAACGAAACGCCGGAAUGCAAAACGGACAACGGGGAAAUGCUCGAAUGCAUAAGAUGAACACGUAUGCAAAUGCAAUGCACAUGAUGACAUGAUAUGAGAUGCAUGACAACGAUAACAACACACGGAGACAAAACCCGAACCCGAGAAAAUAAAAUAACUUAACGUCAGAAAUGACAAGAGUUGGAGUACAAAUUGGUUAAGUUAUAUUCAGGGUGUUACAGUCCUUCUCAAGCUCCAACCCUAUGCACAAUCUUCGUUGGUGAAUCAUCCCUACGUCAAGUUCACCCUCAAGUACUUUGGACUGUUCAAAAACACCGAACGCAUCGACAAGGCGGCGUACAUGCUCGAUCUUCCUCUGACAAGCUUGAUCCAUACGGUCUCCCAUGUCUCGUAGCUCAAGCCCUUCAUCGCCAAUUAGUCGUUGGUGUUCACCGAGCUACCUGAUCCAGUGGAUUUGGCAGCAAGUCUCCAUCUCCCUAAAGUUAUUCUAGCACACCGCAUGGUCAAGAAAGGAAAUGCUGCUCAUCAUACUGGAGAUGGGUAGUGCAGAAGCCGUGUCGAUGCUGAAGAUGCAUUCGGAGGAUCAGUCUCAAUACCGAGUGCACGUAGAAGAGAUUCGUAGGGUAGCAGUUGCUGACCCCAGGGAGAUUUUUUUACUCUCAUUAGUUGCUGGCGGAAUAAAGUUAGCCGCAACAAGCCUACCUCAGCUGGCCCAAAACCCGUCGAGUUCCACCAGAGAGCCAAAUGAUAGAAGCAGCUGGGAUCUCAUCUGGAAACUGAAAGUUGCUGGAAAAGUGCGAAUAUUUGGUUGGCGAGUGGCCACAAAUACUCUAGCUACAAAAAAAACAAGUGGAAAAGAACCAUUGAACUGGAUGCCACUUGCUGCAUUUGUGGUAACAGUAUUGAGGACGAACACCAUGCAGUGGUCAUGUGCACAAAAAGUAGAGCUCUCAGGUGUGCUAUGAGGGAAGUGUGGAAUUUACCUGCUGAAAAGAAUGGGGAGGAUUGGCUUCAGACUUUGCUGGAUACAAAAAGUGAAGAAGGUCGAUCGUGCCAAGAUCCUGAUGCUUCUUUGGAGGAGUUGGUACCUUAGAGAAGAUAGCCUGCGAAACAACGGAAGGGAGACAAUUAGCAGUUCCAUGCAGUUCCUGGUAAAGUACGACAAGGAACUAAGAACUGCAGCAGAGGCAAGGGAUGCAACUGAGGGCAAGGAAAAAAAAUGAAAGAAGGGAGUUCAGAAAGCCGUAGUACUGAAUUACCUGCGGCCAAAUGGAUGCCGCCGCCGCGAGAAGUGGCCAAAAUCUACGACCCUUGAUGCUCUCUGAAUGUACCGUCCCCCCACCUGAGUAGUUUGUUUCUACUCCAGAUCUCAAAAAAAAAAAGAAUAAAGUUAGCCAUGCGCUUGCAGCGUAUGGUCAUUGCACUCCCCGUACCACGGUCUGGCUGUGUUAGAGGCUGGACUCUAUUGUAAACUUGUCUAAGCCUGAUAUGCUUCUUUGAGCAAUGAAAUCGUCCUUUGCCCCGCAAAAAAAAAGAAGAAAAGAAAUGCCGCGGUUGCUCAACGAAAGGGAUGUCGGACUACAAUACCUGAAGAUCACUCCGUUUGGGAAGAAUAUAAUAUCCUAUGUGAACGAUUUUCAGUCGUGCCAAUUUUAUAUACCUAGAUUGUUGAUCCCUACUACUUUCAAUUCUCUCCAUCUCAGCCGCAGCCCGCAGGGGAGUGCCACGUCUUCACUGCCGACCAGUUCCAUGAUGGGGACGGACGGCUGAGAUCUAUUGAUGUAAGUUGGGCCCCUGGCCGGGUGUGAGAUUUGUGAAACUUGAGGGUGACAAUUGAGUACUUGACUCAACUGCUGAAACCUGAAUGAGGCAUCUCUGAAGGCCUGCUUCUCUCGUUCGCUGCCGGAGUUGUUCGUGGGAUCCUCGCACCCAAAGGCCCGAGCCGAAGCCGACGGCGAGCUGCCGGGUCGCCGGCGGCGAGAUGCAAGAAACAAACUCCCACCGGCGCCAUUCCUGCUCUGUAACCCCACGCGUGCCCCGCUACCUGCGCACCGCCGCGGCCCUGGCCGCCGCGGUCCAGAGCGUCAUCAACACGCCCCCGCCGCGCCCCGAGUCGCAGAGCCUCCACGCGCAGCUCCUCACCUCCGGCCUCCGCCCCACCGCCGACCUCUCCGUCAAGUUCCUCAUCCUGCACCUGCGCUGUGGCUCCCACCGCAACGCCCGCGCGGUGUUCGACGGAAUGCCCCGCCCGACCAACGCCGCGCACAACUACCUCGUCGCCGGGUACUUCCGCCUGGGGCUCCCCUGGGAGGCGCUGGGGAUCGUGCGGCGGCUCGCGGCCUCCACGGGCCGCCUGGACGUGUUCGCGCUCUCCAUGGCGCUCAAGCUGUCGGCGGCGCUGGCGCUGCCCCGCGCGGCGAGGGAGGUCCACGCGCGCGUCGUCAGGUCCCCCGCGGAGCUCGACGACAUCCUCGUCGCGGCGUUGGUGGAUGCCUACGUGAAGAACGCGUCGCUGGGCUAUGCUCGGCGGGUGUACGGCAUGGUGCCGGAGCCGGGCAUGGUGUGCUCGACGGCGCUGAUCGUCGGCUGCAUGAACCAAGGGCUGUACAGGGACGCCGAGGCCAUAUUCAACGGGAUGGAGGAGAAGGACGUCGUGGCGUACAACGCAAUGGUGGAGGGGUACAGCAAGACGGAGGAGACCGCGGAGAGCUCGCUGGAGGUGUUCAAGGCGAUGCAGCGAGCGAGGUUCCGGCCGACGGUGUCGACAUGCGUGAGCGUGCUUGGCGCGUGCUCGCUCUUGUCGUCGCCGGAGCUCGGGGAGCAGGUGCACUGCCAGGUCAUCAAGAGCAAGGUCAUCUCUGACAUCAAGGCGGGGAGUGCGCUGCUCGACAUGUACUCCAAGUGCGGCCGAGUUGAGGAGGGGCGGAGGGUGUUCGACGGGAUGGCAGAGAGGAACGUCAUCACAUGGACUUCGAUGAUCGAUGGCUACGGGAAGAACGGCCUUUCAGAUGAGGCUCUCUUGCUGUUGGAGGAGAUGCGGGGGCAGCAGCGGGGCGUCAGGCCAAAUCAUGCCACAUUCCUGAGCGCCCUGUCGGCGUGCGCGCGCGCCGGACUGCUGUCCCGAGGCCAGGAGGUGUUCCAGAGCAUGGAGCGCGACUGCUCGCUCAAACCACGGAUGGAACACUACGCUUGCAUGGUGGACCUGUUGGGCAGGUUCGGCAGCGUGCGCCAGGCAUACGAUUUCGUCAGGGGGAUACCGGCGAGGCCAAACUCUGACGUGUGGGCGGCCCUCCUCGGGGCGGCCACCCUGCACGGCGACGUGGACAUUGCCAAUGUUGCGUCAAGGGAGGUAUUUGAGUUGAGCCGCGCCGGGAGACCGGGCGCCUACAUGGCCUUCUCCAACACCCUUGCGGCCGCCGGAAAAUGGGACUCUGUGCACCAAGUUAGAGAGAUGAUGAAACAGCGUGGCGUGCUCAAAGACGCAGCAUGCAGCUGGGUUGGGUCUGACAACUGUCCACCUGUCAACUGAUGCAAAUUAACGGUGAUUUUUUCAUGAUAUUUUGGGGAUUUCCUUCCUUUGUUGAUUCGUUCUUGGGCUUUGGUGCUCCAACAGCAAAAGGAAAGCGUAUUGAAUCAUACGACGGCACAACAGAUCCUACGGUAUGGAUCGAGGAUUACCUCCUCCACAUCAAUAUGGCCCGUGGUGAUGACUUACACGCCAUCAAAUACCUCCCACUAAAACUCAAAGGACCAGGCUUAAUAGCCUGCCAGCAAAGUCCAUUAGCUAUUGGGAAGAUCUAGAAGCCGCAUUCCUCGACAACUUUCAGGGCAUUUAUGUGCGACCACCAGAUGCCGAUGACUUGAGCCACAUAAUUCAGCAGCCAGAAGAAUCGGCCAGGCAAUUCUGGACUCGGUUCCUAACAAAAAAAAAUCAAAUUGUCGACUGUUCGGAUGCGGAGGCCUUAGCAGCUUUCAAACACAACAUUCGCGAUGAGUGGCUAGCCCGGCACCUUGGUCAGGAAAGCCGAAAUCUAUGGCAGCCAUCACGACACUCAUGACCCGCUUUUGUGUGGGAGAAGACAGCUGGCUGGCUCGCAGUAAUAAUAUGUCAAAGAACCAUGGUACUUCGGAUACCAAGGACGGCAAUAGCAGGUCACGUCGCAACAAACAUAAGCGCCGCAUUAACAGCGAUAAUACUGAAGAUACGACAGUCAAUGCCGGAUUCAAAGGCUCUAAACCCGGUCAGCGGAAAAAGCCAUUCAAAAGAAGCACUCCGGGCCCGUUCAGUUUGGACUGUAUACUCGAUCGCUCGUGUCAAAUACACGGCACCCCCGACAAGCCAGCCAACCACACCAACAGGGAUUGUUGGGUGUUCAAGCAGGCCGGCAAGUUAAUUGCCGAAGACAAAGAUAAGGGGCCACAUAGCGAUGACGAGGAAGAGCCCCAGCAGCCGAACACCGGAGGACAGAAGAGGUUCCCCCCACAAGUGCGGACUGUGAACAUGAUAUACGCAACCCACAUCCCCAAGAGGGAGCGGAAGCGUGCGCUCAGGGACGUAUAUGCGUUGGAGCCAGUCGCCCCAAAGUUCAACCCAUGGUCCUCCUGUCCGAUCACCUUCGAUCGCAGGGACCACCCCACUACUAUCCGUCAUGGCGGAUUCGCCGCACUGGUCCUAGACCCAAUCAUUGACGGAUUUCACCUCACUCGAGUCCUUAUGGAUGGCGGCAGCAGCCUGAACCUGCUUUAUCAGGACACAGUGCGCAAAAUGGGUAUAGACCCCUCAAGGAUCAAACCAAUAAAAACGACCUUUAAAGGCGUCAUUACAGGUGUAGAGGCCCAUUGCACAGGUUCAAUUACACUGUAAGUGGUCUUCGGAUCCCCGGAUAACUUCCGAAGUGGUUAUCAUGCACUGCUCGGGCGAACCGCAUUUGCGAGAUUCAAUGCGGUACCGCAUUAUGCAUACCUCAAGCUCAAGAUGCCAGGACCUCGUGGGGUUAUUACAGUUAAUGGAAACACAGAGCCCUCUCUCCGAACGGAGGAGCACACUGCGGCCCUCGCAGCAGAAGCGCAAAGCAGCCUCUCAAGGCAAUCCACCAGUUCGGCGUCUCAAGACCCGGACACCUUCAAGCGCGCUCGGAGUAAUCAGCAACUGGACCGCCUGGCACGAUCUGAGCUCGCGUAGCAAUGCGGCCCCCACCCCAGUCCCAGCCAAGCGGCAAAAUCCGUGCCACGCGUACAUAAUUACGCAUUAAAAAUAUCAUAGGCACAGGUGGGGAGGGGGCACAACUACGACACACUCCAAGAGGCGGCCUAAACCGCACUAGGGGCUUCCCGCUUUGUUAUUUUUCUCUUUAAGGACUUUAAUCUCUGGAAACCUUGUCCGGCAGCAUGAUUGUCGAACACAUGAUGCAGCAACCAAGAGAGGCAGAAAGCUACGUCACACCAUGGAACUCCCAGGUGGAUUACGAUAACGAGUGAAAUAUUUGCUUUAAUACUAUUCCUCAGCUUGCCCUUGGAAGGGACAUAGUCCUACUUUUUGCUUAUCGCACUAUCCGUAUCAUUCUGCUUUAACGCACCUCUUUGAAUAAACAACGCAUAACAUUAAGACUAUUAUUGCAUUCUUGUUUUAUAUAUAUGUGUUCAUUAAUGACACCUCGCAACUGUACACUUUGGUACGGCCAACACACUAGGGGCUUAAGUACCCCACAAUAUGGUGUGAGAAAUCCGAACACUUUCAUAAGUGCGGCACCCCGAACUUAUAGCAUUAUAUGCAUCAGCUCCGAAUCAUGUCUUUGGUCAAAUGUUGGGUUUGCCCGGCUCCUAUGUUUUGGUACCUUACAUCCCGCUCUAUCGGCUAAGGUAGCGCUAAGAGAACUACUGCGAUUGUGCCCCGGUUCUGCUGGGCUAAGCACCUCAGUAGAGAAAGCUAAAACUGACUAUCAUGAUAAGGCGAGAGACUGGUCGCUGUUCGGCGAGGUUUUGAGUCCCUAAAGACUUAUGCCGCUUAGAGCGAGGAGCCGGUCCUAACCGGCUUAAAGGCGUGUAUCGCGCCCCGAAUUCGGCCUUCCGAAUACCAGGGGCUUCGCCGAAAUUUAAAAUUAUAGAAUUCUAUGGCUAAGUGAGAGUGAUAAAGCAUUAUUAGUCCGGUUGCCUUGUUCGUUGUGGUGAGCACCUCCCUCGAAGGGCCCAAAAAUGGGAACAAGAGUGCUCAGGUUUAUCCCAAACACCCCAGCACUCGCGGCAUGGGGGCAGAAGCCGAGGACUAGCCAUCUCUCAGAUUGGAUAAACAACCAAACAGAAGGUAAUAUUUUAAAUUCAAACAAGCGUUGCAUAGCGCAUAUGAAACAAGUUUUCAUCAUACAUGAUCACACGAGCAAGUUUACUCAAAUAUUACAUCCUUUGAACAUUCGUCCGCUACAAGACGGGCACCCUUCAGGACACCCUCAUAAUAAAUUUCGGGGGUGCGAUGCUCCUUGCCCUGCGGCGGUCCCUCCUUGAUCAGCUUCACAGCGUCUAGCUUGGCCCAUUGCACCUUCACGUGGGCGAAAGCCCGGCGUGCACCUUCGAUGCAGACAGACCGCUUGACGACCUCCAGCCGUGGGCAUGCGUCCACAAGCCGCCUCACCAGGCCGAAGUAGCUGUUUGGGAGGGUGUCGCCAGGCCACAGCCGGACUAUAAAGCCCUUCAUGGCCUGUUCGGCCGCUUUGUGUAGCUCGACCAGCUGCUUCAGCUGGUCGCUCAUAGGCACCGGGUGUUCGGUCCCAGUAUACUGAGACCAAAACAGCUUCUCCGUUGAGCUUCCCUCCUCGGCCUGGUAAAACUGUGCGGCAUCCGACACGCUGCGGGGCAAAUCUGCGAAUGCUCCUGGAGAGCUCCGGAUUCGGGUAAGUAAUAGGUAGUUUACUUUCACAUGCUUGCUUUGCAUAUAGAAUGCCUUACCCGCCGCUAUUUUCUUCAUCGCGUCAAUCUCCUGGAGGGCCUUUUGGGCUUCGGCCUUGGCACUUUUUGCGCUCUUGAGGGCUGCGGCAAGCUCAGACUCUCGCGUCUUCGAGUCCAGCUCCAACGCCUCGUGCUUCGCCACGAGAGCCCGGAGCUCUUGCUGCACCUCGCCCACCCGAGCCUCUUGCUUUUCCUGCUCGGUGCGCUCCUUGGCCGCUUUAUCUUCGGCCUUGGACAUCGCUUGCUUUAGGGUCGCCACUUCGGUCGCGGCCCCUGGCAAACAUACGAUGAUCCUGUCAUUUUGCAACCGCGUCUUCUUUUAUAUAUACAUAUCUAUAGACAGGGUAUUACUUACCUUUGUUCUCCUCGAGCUGCCUCUUGGCAAGGCCGAGCUCGUCCUUGGACCCUUUAAGGUCCUGCUUCAGUGUGGCGACCUCCGCAGUCAGUGCGGCAGAUGCCAGCAGCGAAGCCUGCAUACGCAUAUUGACAUACUUAUAUUAGACUCCUGCGAUGUUGUUUGAUCCUCUGUUCGGUUUUUCUUUGUGAACACCGAACAGAGCAUCAGGGGCUACUGUCUAUGCGGUAAUAUUUUUUCUAUAUUUUAACACUUACCUCAAAGCCUGUUAAAAGGCUGGCACAGGCUUCAAUCAAUCCGCUCUUGGCGGACUGAACCUUCUGGACUACCGCACUCAUAAUAGUACGAUGCUCCUCGUCGAUGGAAGCGCUGCGAAGCGCUUCCAGCAGAUUGUCCGGCGCCUCUAGAUGGACAGAGGUCACCGGCACAGGCGUCUUGCCCCUCUUGGAAGGAGGCCGCCUGCCCGAGUCUGGAACCACUGGAGGUUCCAGCGCGGUGUUCGGCUGAGGGCCGAACUCGGAGCCCUCGGGGGCCUUGUCCCCUCUGCCCCCGGAGUCCGGAAGGUCGCCUUGAGGCGCCUCCGGGACUGUCUCCCCUCGACCCGGUGCCUCUUGAGACAAUACCUUGGCGUUGUCCGCAGGGCAAGGGCAGGUGGCGGUCGGAAGUGGAUCGCUAUCCAUAUCCGACGAGCCCAGGGAGCCGUCCGAUGAUACAUCAAUACGGGCUCGUGGCGGCCUGCAUAAUCAUAUUCGGCGUUAGGGGAAGCAGUGCGCAAAAGGAUACUAUGAGUUACUCUGGUAUCCGAAUACUUACGACCUCCCCAGGGGCUUGGCCCUGGGUAACCACUCGUCUUCGCCUUCGGUGGCGGUGGUGGAACUGUCCGGAAGGAGAGUCCUUCCCUUCUUGGACCCUCCGGCCUCCCCAGUUGGGCGACCUUCCUUUUCUUAUCUUCCCCAACUGAAGGGGGAGCAUCUUCUUCUUCCUCCUCGUCUUCAGGGGAGGAGUGUGCCGCAGAGUCAUCGGACGGUGAGUCUGAUGAUGCCUGGCGUCGGGAACUCUUUCGGGUUCCCUUGGCCUUCUUGGUCUUCUCUGGCACCUUGUAAGGAGCCAAAGUCAGCAUCUCCGUCAGGAGAGCGCCUGCAGUGUCUUCGGGCAAAGGGGCCGGACAGUUAAUCUGCCCCGACGUAUCCACCCAGUCCUGUCAAACGCAUGGAGAUCAGACCCCGCACAUGAUUAAGCUAGGGGAAAUAAAUAUCCUACGGGAUGUAUUGAACUCACCGAACGCGCUAGGCGCUUUGCGCUUAGCCCGCGGUCCUCGGCGAGAGAAGGAGGGACCUCGGCGCCCUUGAACAACACCUUCCAGACGUCCUUGUGCGUCGCAUCAAAGAGCUCGCUCAAAGUCUGGUGCUGGGCCGGGUCGAACUCCCACAAGUUAAAAUCCCGUUGUUGACACGGGAGGAUCCGGCGGAUGAGCAUGACCUGGACUAUGUUGACAAGCUUGAGCUUCUUGCUUGCCAUACUCCGGAUACAUUUCUGGAGUCCAUCCAGCUCCACCGAUGAACCCCACGACAAGCCCUUCUCUUUCCAGGAAGUGAGCCAUGUAGGGAAUCCGGAUCGAAACUCGGGGGGCCGCCGCCCAUUUGGCAUCACGCGGCUCGAUGAUGUAGAACCACACCGAUUGCCACCCCUUUAUGGUCUCCACAAAGGAGCCUUCAAGCCAUAUAACAUUGGGCAUCUUGCCCACCAUGGCUCCGCCGCAUUCUGCCUGUUGGCCACCCACCACCUUCGGCUUGAUAUUGAAGGUCUUUAACCACAGGCCGAAGUGGGACCGGAUGCGGAGGAAAGCCUCACACACGACGAUGAACGCCGAAAUGUUCAAGACGAAGUUCGGGGCCAGAUCAUGAAAGUCCAGCCCAUAGUAGAACAUGAGACCAUGGACGAAUGGAUGGAGGGGAAACCCCAGUCCGCGGAGGAAGUGGUGGAGGAAAACUACCCUCUCGUGAGGUUCUGGGGUAGGGACGAUCUGCCCCGCAGCGGGCAGCCGAUGCGCGAUAUUCGCGGCUAAGUAUACGGCUCCGCGCAGCUUCUUGAUAUGUCCCUCCAUAACGGAGGAAGCCAUCCAUUUGCCUCCUGCUCUGGACAUGUUUGGAGAAGGUUGAGGGAAAGGAUGUGGACUUGGGUGUUGGAGCUCAAGUGCGCGAAAAUGGAUGAGCAAAGGAGGAAGAAGGCGUGGAUGAAGAGGUGAAUCCUUAUCCCUUUAUAUGGGCGGACGAAACUAUGCGUCCCCACUAGCCUGGUAAAACUCGAUUAUCCCCCAAGCGCCGUAAUCGAUGGCGCGGUUGGGUUACCCACCCCCGUAUUGAUGAGAAUCCCGUGAUAAGGGGACACGAUCUCUGCUUUGACAAGACGUGUCAAAAAACUGCCACGCGUUAUGUGCGGGGCUAGUUAAAGGAAACGGUUCGAAUAAUCACGGGCCAUGACAUAAUGUCGUGUUGCCAAAACAAGUCAGCAAAUUAGAUUUGUGGAAAUAUUGUUCUCUCUACGAUGGUAUGUGGAACUUAUUUUGCAGGGUCGGACACUAUCCUUGUGUUCAAAUUCUUCUGUGAUGUAUUCGGAGGAGGAACCCGCCUUGCAAUGCCGAAGACAAUACUGCGCGCCGGACUCAUCGUCAUUGAAAGCCUGGUUCAGGGGCUACUGAGGGAGUCCUGGAUUAGGGGGUCUUCGGACAGCCGGAUUAUAUCCUUUGGCCGGACUAUUAGACUAUGAAGAUACAAGAUUGAAGACUUUGUCUCGUGUCCGGAUGGGACUCUACUUGGCGUGGAAGGCAAGCUAGGCAGUACGGAUAUGGAUAUAUCUUCUUUUGUAACCGACCUUGUGUAACCCUAACCCUCUCCGAUGUCUAUAUAAACCGGAGGGUUUUAGUCCGUAGGACACGACAAUAACAUACAAUCAUACCAUAGGCUAGCUUCUAGGGUUUAUCCUCUCUGAUCUCGUGGUAGAUCUACUCUUGUACUACCCAUAUCAUCAAUAUUAAUCAAGCAGGACGUAGUGUUUUACCUCCAUCAAGAGGGCCCGGACCUGGGUAAAACAUCGUGUUCCCUGCCUCCUGUUACCAUCCGCCUUAGACGCACAGUUCGGGACCACCUACCCGAGAUCCGCCGGUUUUGACACCGACAGGUAGCAUUCCGCAUCAAAAAUUCUGUUUUUAUCAUUUACCUACUCGAGGACCAGCAGGAAUUAAGCUUGGGGAUGCUGAUACGUCUCCAACGUAUCUAUAAUUUUUGAUUGUUCCAUGCUAUUAUAUUAUCAACCUUGGAUGUUUUAUAUGCAUUUAUUGCUAUUUUAUAUGAUUUUUGGGACUAACCUAUUAACCUAGAGCCCAGUGCCAGUUUCUUUUUUUUCUUGUUUUAGAAUAUCGCAGAAAAGGAAAAUCAAACGGAGUCCAAUUGACCUGAAACUUCAUGGAACUUAUUUUUGGAUCAGAAGAAGCCCAGAAGACUUGGAGUGCAUGUCAGGGGAUCAACGAGGAAGCCACGAGGCAGGGGGCGCGCCCUCCACCCUCGUGGGCCCCUCGUGGCCCCCCUGACAUAUUUCUUCCGCCUAUAUAUCUCCAUAUACCCUAAAACGAUCGAGGAGCACAAUAGAUCGGGAGUUCUGCUGCCAGAAGCCUCCGUAGCCACCGAAAACCAAUCUAGACCCGUUCCGGCACCCUACCGGAGGGGGCAAUCCCUCUCCGAUGGCCAUCUUCAUCAUCCUGGUGCUCUCCAUGACGAGGAGGGAGUAGUUCUCCCUCGGGGCUGAGGGUAUGUACCAGUAGCUAUGUGUUUGAUCUCUCUCUCUCUCGUGUUCUUGAGGUGGUACGAUCUUGAUGUAUCGCGAGCUUUGCUAUUAUAUUUGGAUCCUAUGAUGUUUUCUCCCCCCUCUACUCUCUUGUAAUGGAUUGAGUUUCCCCUUUGAAGUUAUCUUAUCGAAUUGAGUCUUUAAAGAUUUGAGAACACUUGAUGUAUGUCUUGCCAUGCGUAUCUGUGGUGACAAUGGGAUACCACGUGAUUCACUUGAUGUAUGUUUUGGUGAUCAACUUGCGGGUUCCGCCCAUGAACCUAUGCAUAGGGGUUGGCACACGUUUUCGUCGAGAUUCUCCGGUGGAAACUUUGGGGCACUCUUUGAGGUUCUAUGUGUUGGUUGAAUAGAUGAAUCUGAGAUUGUGUGAUGCAUAUUGUAUAAUCAUACCCACGGAUACUUGAGGUGACAUUGGAGUAUCUAGGUGACAUUAGGGUUUUGGUUGAUUUGUGUCUUAAGGUGUUAUUCUUGUAUGAACUCUAGGGCUAUUUGUGACACUUAUAGGAAUAGCCCAAUGGAUUGAUUGGAAAGAAUAACUUUGAGGUGGUUUCGUACCCUACCAUAAUCUCUUCGUUUGUUCUCCGCUAUUAGUGACUUUGGAGUGACUCUUUGUUGCAUGUUGAGGGAUAGUUAUGCGAUCGAAUUAUCUUAUUAUUGCUGAGAGGACUUGCACUAGUGAAAGUAUGAACCCUAGGCCUUGUUUCCUAGCAUUGCAAUACCGUUUACGCUCACUUUUAUCAUUAGUUACCUUGCUGUUUUUAUAUUUUCAGAUUACAAAAACCUUUAUCUACUAUCCAUAUACCACUUGUUUCACCAUCUCUUCGCCGAACUAGUGCACCUAUACAAUUUACCAUUGUAUUGGGUGUGUUGGGGACACAAGAGACUCUUUGUUAUUUGGUUGCAGGGUUGCUUGAGAGAGACCAUCUUCAUCCUACGCCUCCUACGGAUUGAUAAACCUUAGGUCAUCCACUUGAGGGAAAUUUGCUACUGUCCUACAAACCUCUGCACUUGGAGGCCCAACAACGUCUACAAGAAGAAGGUUGUGUAGUAGACAUCAGGGCCGACCGGCCUCCCCCCUUGCUCCUUUAUAUACGGGGCAGGGGGCACCCUAGGACACACAAGUUGAUUGUUCCAAGCCGUGUGCGGUGCCCCCUCCACCAUAAUCCACCUCGAUCAUAUCGUAGCGGUGCUUAGGCGAAGCCCUGCGUCGGUAGCAACAUCAUCACCGUCAUCACGCCGUCGUGCUGACGAAACUCUCCUGUGAAGCUUUGUUGGAUCGGAGUUCGUGGGACGUCAUCGAGCUGAACGUGUGCUGAACUCGGAGGUGUCGUACGUUCGGUACUUGGAUCGGCCGGAUCGUGAAGACGUACAACUACAUCAACCGCGUUCUCAUAGCGUUUCCACUUACGGUCUAUGAGGGUACGUGGACGAUACUCUCCUCUCUCGUUGCUAUGCAUCACCAUGAUCUUGCGUGUGCGUAGGAAUUUUUUUGAAAUUACUACGUUCCCCAACAGUGGCAUCCGAGCCAGGUUUAUGUGUAGAUGUUAUAUGCACGAGAACACAAGUGAGUUGUGAGUCUCAAUCCUUUCAAAAAUGAGUGAGUCCAAAGAUCCAUCAACAUGGAGCUUCUUCAUGCGUUUUAUACCGAUAUGACUUAAGUGGCAGUGCCACAAGUAGGUGGCACUGUCAUUACUAUCUUAUAUUUUUUGGCAUGAACAUGUGUAUCACUACGAUCGAGAUUCAAUAAACCAUUCAUUUUAGGUGUAAGACCAUUGAAGGUAUUAUUCAAAUAAACAGAGUAACCAUUAUUCUCCUUAAAUGAAUAACCGUAUUGCGAUAGACGUAAUCCAAUCAUGUCUAUGCUCAACGCAAACACCAAAUAAUUAUUAUUUAGGUUUUAAUACCAAUCUCGAUGGUAGAGGGAGUGUACGAUAUUUGAUCAACCUUGGAAAUACUUCCAACACAUAUCGUCAUCUCACCUUUUAGCUAGUCUCCGUUUAUUCCGUAGCCUUUUGUUUCGAGUUACUAACACUUAGCAACCGAACCGGUAUCUAAUACCCUGGUGCUACCAGGAGUACUAGUAAAGUACACAUUGUAAUGCAUAUCCAAUAUACUUCUGUUGACCUUGCCAGCCUUCUCAUCUACCAAGUAUCUAGGGUGGUUCUGCUUCAGUGACUGUUCCCCUUAUUACAAAAGCAUUUAGUCUCGGGCUUGGGUUCAACUUUGGGUUUCUUCACUAGAACAGCAGCUGAUUUGCCGUUUCAUGAAGUAUCCCUUCUUGCCCUUGCCCUUCUUGAAACUAGUGGUUUCACCAACCAUCAAUAAUUGAUGCUCCUUCUUGAUUUCUACUUUUGUGGUGUCAAACAUCGCGAAUAUCUCAAGGAUCAUCAUAUAUGUCCCUGAUAUAUUAUAGUUUAUCACGAAGCUCUAGCAGCUUGGUGGUAAUGACUUCGGAGAACUAUCACUAUUUCAUCUGGAAGAUCAACUCCCACUUGAUUCAAGCGAUUGUUGUACUCAGACAAUCUGAGCACAAGCUCAACAAUUGAGCUUUUCUCCCUUAGUUUGCAGGCUAAGAAAAUCGUCGGAGGUCUUAUACCUCUUGACGUGGGCACGAGCCCGAAAUCCCAAUUUCAGCCCUCGAAACAUUUCAGAUGUUUCGCGACGUUUUAAAACGUCUUCGGUGCCUCAACUCUAAACCGUUUAACUGAACUAUCACGUAGUCAUCAAAAUGUGUAUGUCAGAUGUUCGCAACAUCCACAGACGACGUUCGAGGUUCAGCACACUGAGCAGUGCAUUAAGGACAUAAGCCUUUUACUGUCUGCAUAAUUACUACUAUCAACUUUCAACUAAUUUUUUCUCUAGGAACAUAUCUAAAUAGUAGAACUAAAGCGUGAGCUACGACAUAAUUUGCAAAAUCCUUUUGACUAUGUUCAGCAUAAACAAGUUCAUCUUAUGAACUUCCACUCAGAUAGACAUCCCUCUAGUCAUCUAAGUGAUUACAUGAUCCGAGUCAACUAGGCCGUGUCCGAUCAUCACGUGAGACGGACUAGUCAACAUCGGUGAACAUCUUCAUGUUGAUCGUAUCUUCUAUACGACUCAUGCUCGACCUUUUGGUCUCUUGUGUUCCGAGGCCAUGUCUGUACAUGCUAGGCUCGUCAAGUCAACCUAAAUGUUUCGCGUGUGUAAAUCUGGCUUACACCCGUUGUAUGUGAACGUAAGAAUCUAUCCCACCCGAUCAUCACGUGGUGCUUCGAAACGACGAACUUUCGCAACGGUGCACAGUUAGGGGGAACACUUUCUUGAAAUUUUAAUGAUGGAUCAUCUUAUUUACUACCGUCGUUCUAAGCAAAUAAGAUGCAAAAACAUGAUAAACAUCACAUGCAAUCAAAAGGUGACAUGAUAUGGCCAUCAUCACUUUGCUCCUUUUGAUCUCCAUCUUCGGGGCUCCAUGAUCAUCAUCGUCACCGGCAUGACACCAUGAUCUCCAUCAUCAUGAUCUCCAUCAUCGUGUCUUCAUGAAGUUGUCUCGCCAACUAUUACUUCUACUACUACAACUAAUGGUUAGCAAUAAAGUAAAGUAAUUACAUGGCGUUGUUCAAUGACACACAUGUCAUAUAAUAAAUAAAGACAACUCCUAUGGCUCCUGCCGGUUGUCAUACUCAUCGACACGCAAGUCGUGAUUUCUAUUACAAGAACAUGAUCAAUCUCAUACAUCACAUAUCAUUCAUCACAUUCUUCUUGGCCAUAUCACAUCACAUAGCAUACCCUGCAAAAACAAGUUAGACGUCCUCUAAUUGUUGUUUGCAUGUUUUACGUGGCUGCUAUGUGUUUCUAGCAAGAACGUUUCUUACCUAUGCAAAAACCACAACGUGAUAUGCCAAUUGCUAUUUACCCUUCAUAAGGACCAUUUUCAUCGAAUCCGAUCUGACUAAAGUGGGAGAGACAGACACCCGCUAGCCACCUUAUGCAACUAGUGCAUGUCAGUCGGUGGAACCAGUCUCACGUAAGAGUACGUGUAAGGUCGGUCCGGGCCGCUUCAUCCCACAAUGCCGCCGAAUCAAGAUUGGACUAGUAACGGUAAGCAUAUUGAACAAAAUCAACACCCACAACUACUUUGUGUUCUACUCGUGCAUAGAAACUACGCAUAGACCUAGCUCAUGAUGCCACUGUUGGGGAACGUAGCAGAAAUUCAAAAUUGUCUACGCAUCACCAAGAUCAAUCUAUGGAGUAAUCUAGCAACGAGGGGAAGGAGAGUGCAUCUACAUACCCUUGUAGAUCGCUAAGUGGAAGCGUUCAAGUGAACGGGGUUGAUGGAGUCGUACUCGUCGUGAUCCAAAUCACCGAUGAUCCCAGUGCCGAACGGACGGCACCUCCGUGUUCAACACACGUACAGCCCGGUGACGUCUCCUACGCCUUGAUCCAGCAAGGGGAGAAGGAGAGGUUGGGGAAGACUCCAUCCAGCAGCAGCACGACGGCGUGGUGGUGAUGGAGGAGCGUGGUACUCCAGCAGGGCUUCGCCAAGCACCGCAAGAGAAGAGGAGAACUUGGGAAAGGGGGAGGGUUGCGCCAAGACUUGGGUGCGGCUGCCCUCCCACCCCCACAUAUAUAUAGGGGCAAGGGAGAGGGGGGCCGACCCCCUCAGAUCCAAUCUGAGGAGGGGGCGAUGGCCAAGGGGGGUUGCCUUGCCCCCCAAGGCAAGGGGGGCGCCCCCCCUUUAGGGUUCCCCCAAACCCUAGGCGCAUGGGCCCUAGGGGGGGAGGCGCCCAGCCCACUAAGGGGCUGGUCCCUCUCCACAUACAGCCCUUAGGGCCCUCCGGGGCAGGUGGACCCUUCCGGUGGACCCCCGGAACCCCUCCGGUGGUCCCGGUACAAUACCGGUAACCCCCGAAUUAUUCCGGCGACCAAAACAGGACUUCCCAUAUAUAAAUCUUUACCUCCGGACCAUUCCGGAACUCCUCGUGAUGUUCAGGAUCUCAUCCGGGACUCCGAACAACAUUCGGUAACCACGUAUAUCUAUUCCCUAUAACCCUAGCGUCAUUGGACCUUAAGUGUGUAGACCCUACGGGUUCGGGAACCAUGUAGACAUGACCGAGAUAACUCUCCAGUCAAUAACCAACAACGGGAUCUCGAUACCCAUGUUGGCUCCCACAUGUUCCACGAUGAUCUCAUCGGAUGAACCACGAUGUCAAGGACUUAAUCAAUCCCGUAUACAAUUCCCUUUGUCUAUCGGUAUGAUACUUGCCCGAGAUUCGAUCGUCGGUAUCCCGAUACCUUGUUCAAUCUCGUUACCGGCAAGUCUCUUUACUCGUUCCAUAACACAUCAUCCUGUGAUCAACCCCUUGUUCACAUUGUGCACAUUAUGAUGAUGUCCUACCGAGUGGGCCCAGAGAUACCUCUCCGUUUACACGGAGUGACAAAUCCCAGUCUCGAUUCGUGCCAACCCAACAGACACUUUCGGAGAUACCUGUAGUGUACCUUUAUAGCCACCCAGUUAUGUUGUGACGUUUGGCACACCCAAAGCACUCCUACAGUAUCCGGGAGUUGCACAAUCUCAUGGUCUAAGGAAAUGAUACUUGACAUUAGAAAAGCUUUAGCAUAUGAACUACAUGAUCUUGUGCUAGGCUUAGGAUUGGGUCUUGUCCAUCACAUCGUUCUCCUAAUGAUGUGAUCCCGUUAUCAAUGACAUCCAAUGUCCAUGGUUAGGAAACCGUAACCAUCUAUUGAUCAACGAGCUAGUCAACUAGAGGCUUACUAGGGACAUGGUGUUGUCUAUGUAUCCACACAUGUAUCUGAGUUUCCUAUCAAUACAAUUCUAGCAUGGAUAAUAAACGAUUAUCAUGAACAAGGAAAUAUAAUAAUAAUCAAUUUAUUAUUGCCUCUAGGGCAUAUUUUCAACACUUGACGUAUACUCCAAGUCUUGGUUGACAUAGCUCGCGUGCUCAUCCUUUGGUGGUAACCGACAUAUGUAAGCCUAGGUACCCUUGGUGUCUAUAUAAACCAGAGGGUUUAGUCCGUAGAGGCUAGAACCAUCAUCCUACUCAUCUAGGGUUUAGUUCAUACGAUCUCAUGGUAGAUCAACUCUAUAAUCCUCAUAUACACACAUUAAUAUAAUCAAGCAGGACAUAGAGUUUUACCUCUUCGAGAGGGCCCGAACCUGGGUAAAUAUUGUCCAUGCGUACUUUGUUACCCAUUGAUCCAAGAUCCACAGCUCGGAACCCCCUACCUGAGAUUCACCGGUUUUGACACCGACAAGGGGAGGGGGUGCCGAGGAUAGGCAGGUAAAGUGGUGGUGUGACAUGAGGGAUCAGUCUUUGUGUCGUGGAGAUGCACCACCACAUGCUUAAUUGACACAUACUAUUCAUGAAUUCUUGUACAUACAGACCAGGCUACUAGGCCUUUUUAUUUGCGAUAGGCUAUUUGCCUAUGUAGAAGGACAAACAAACCAUGUAGGAUCAUGCCCUCCUAGGGUUGGGCCUUUGGCGGUCACCCUCCCGCCUAGGCCCAGAGCCAACCUUGCUUAAAAAGACUCGACUAUAAAUCCUUUUCAUACCAACUCUUUCCCAUAGCCCCAAACCCCAGCGACCACCCCAAUCCUCGCGAUCCCAGACUUCUUCUUCUUUUUCAUCCCAGGCGAACACUUGAAGUCUUCGACGCCUCCACCUUCGGUAAGGAUUCGCCUCCAGAGGAUCUUCAUCGCUCGGAGCUUCGCCCUCGGUUACCGUCCUCACCACCCUCAAAGUUUUUUUUUCCAUCGGUGCCACCAUAGUCGCCCCCCUGAGUUGGAGCAAGAUGCGUAGGAGAAAGCGUCCUGUCGUUGAUGCUCCUAGUGGAUCGGGCCGCCGCCGUAGUGCAUGGUAAAAUUGCCGCGUUUUCAUUCUAACUUGGAUCUAGUGUUUUUUUUUCAUGUUUGUUAUGAUGUUUAUUUUCUUUCCUAUGCAUCGUCGUAUGUUGUUUCUAUUAUAUAGCGGCUGUGGGAGUCGCCGGAAAACCUUCUUGAAGCAUAGUCUGAACCAUCCGAUUCCAUGUCCAUUCUUUUAGCAUCAGCUCAACGAGCACCCACCCGUUGCUGAGAGCACGAGCCUUCGCAAAAAUAUGAUCUAGCUGCUCGUUUUAGGGUAGAUCCAGCAAGACGUAGGGUAAGACAUGCCCCAUCCUAAGAUCUUUUUUUAGGUGUAACUAGGGAUUUUAUUGAUCAACCAAAGCCGGAGGAAUACAAAUAAUGUCUGGCGGGUUCCCUAGCCACAGAUGGCGACCGGUAGGGAGAGACGAGGCUGCCUUUGCCAAGGCAUGAGCCUCAAAGUUUGCCUCCCUACCUUCAAAACGAAACUUAACUCCUAAAAAGUCUGUAACUCUAUCUUUAAUCUCUUGAAUUACAAAAGCAUACGAGGAAGACGACGCCAUCCCAUGAAUAUCCGAAACAACCUGCAUGCAAUCCGAGACUAUUAUCACAUGUGUCAGCAUUAGAUCUUGAGCCAAAGCAAGCGCCUUGUUGCACGCUUGAGCUUCCAAGCUUGGGGCGUCGACUAGUCCUUCGAAAACCACCGUUGAAGAUCCAAGGUAGUCGCCUUCUUUGUCCCGACACACAGCAGCCGAUGCACCAGUUCCUCCUUGGCGAGAGAUGGUCCCAUCUACAUUGAUCUUCAUCGACUCUUCUCCCGGCGGGAUCCACCUGCGCGGCCUAUGAAUCACCGGCUGUGAAUGUCGCGUUGGUGCACGUUUGGUAGCGAUAUGCAGGUCCUCCAAGUACCUGUUCACAAAACACAUUGUAGAAAGUGGGCUUUGGAAUUCGUAGUCGUGAAUUGCUUUCCUUCUAGCCCACCAAAUCGCCCCACCCUAAGAUCUAGGUCGAGCCAGCAUACACCUACCAAAAAAAAGGAAACAGACCAAAAGGCCCAGCCCAACUCACCUCGGGCCCACUCUAGCAAUCUGGUCUGAUCUGUCACCGGCUGCUUGACCGUAAUUUCUUUUCAAUACUAAUAUUUAGGCACGUGGUGAUGAUAAAAUACUCUGAUGGAUACGCCCCAUCAACUCCGGUCUAGUAGAAUUUAUGUCGCUCCUUUUUUCGGUCCCCACAAUAAAUGCACCACAAUUAUUGCUCAAUAAGGACAUUAUCACAUACUACAAAACCUUUUGGUCCAAUGGUGGGGGGCGGGGUAGGGGAGAGACUUGGCAUUUACAGGCUCACAAGCCACUGCCGCUGUUGUUGCAGUGCCCGUGACGAGACGGCCGCGGCGCGGGCAGAGGGGGGAGGGGGUAACAACAAGAGCCACGGGGCAGGCGCCCCCUCUUUCUCCCGCCGGAGCUCCUCAAAACCCCGUUGCGGCCGCCGCCCGACGCGAUCGCGCUAAACCCUAGCCUCCGCCGCCGCCGCCCGCCGCCGCGCCCGCCCCGCAUUCCCCGCCCGUCCUCGCGCCCGCCCGCAGAGGUAACGCUUCCGCCCGCCCGCCUCCUCUUCCUCUGUUCCGCGCGCCGUCGCUCGGGGCCUCCCUCCCAUCCGCGGACCCGCCCGUCGGCGCGCCUUCCGCGCGCUCCGGGGAGGGGAACGGCCCGGGAGCAGGGUUCCGUCCCUGGGCGNNNNNNNNNNNNNNNNNNNNNNNNNNNNNNNNNNNNNNNNNNNNNNNNNNNNNNNNNNNNNNNNNNNNNNNNNNNNNNNNNNNNNNNNNNNNNNNNNNNNNNNNNNNNNNNNNNNNNNNNNNNNNNNNNNNNNNNNNNNNNNNNNNNNNNNNNNNNNNNNNNNNNNNNNNNNNNNNNNNNNNNNNNNNNNNNNNNNNNNNNNNNNNNNNNNNNNNNNNNNNNNNNNNNNNNNNNNNNNNNNNNNNNNNNNNNNNNNNNNNNNNNNNNNNNNNNNNNNNNNNNNNNNNNNNNNNNNNNNNNNNNNNNNNNNNNNNNNNNNNNNNNNNNNNNNNNNNNNNNNNNNNNNNNNNNNNNNNNNNNNNNNNNNNNNNNNNNNNNNNNNNNNNNNNNNNNNNNNNNNNNNNNNNCCUCCGGACUGCGCGUGCGCGCGGGGCGCUUUCGAUCUCGGAUUUCUUCCUUCCGCGUCGCGCAGUUGAUGUGGGCUUUCCAGUUGGGAUUCUGGUUCCUGCUCCGUGGAUUUGCGAUCUGACUGAAUUUCUGUUCUCUGACUGACUGAUGCCAGGUUGCAGAGCGGUGGAAUGGGGAACAGCCGGCCCGGAGGGGCGCCUCCGACAACCAGUGGGAACGUGGCGAGGAGCAACGCGGAGGCCGUGACGGAAGCUCCCCGCUUGCGGCCGCACGGAGGGCCAGGUGCGCCGGGUCCGGGGAGCCCAGGUCGGAGCACACCCCUUCCUGGUGGUCGGGAGAGGGGUUCCACGGGGGCAAAUGUGAUGACACCGUCUUGUGACAGGCAGCAGAACAGAGCGGUGGAGGAAGCGCCGCUCGGAGCGUCGAGCGCGGUUAAGAAGAGCAGUGUGCCCAAUUCUCUGUCAAGGGGUUCAGACAUAAACUCUGGCUCUAGGAUGGAUGCAGAGGAGCAAGUGAUGGGUGGGCAAGCGAGCAACGGGGACGCUGGCUCUUCCUCGAAGAAGCGGAAAAAAAGAAUGGAUGCAAGAAGCUACAUCAAGAGAUUCAAGACUGGCGUAAGAGUGGGUGCCUCAGGUAUAUUACUUCCUCUCUUAUGUUGGGCUCUUGCUCUACUUACUUAAAGGCUGAAUGGUCACAUCCUCUCAGACAAGUAGUUUUAAAGGGCUCUGCUGGCUUACCUACUCUGUUAUCAAAUCACAUUGUAAUCAUGGGGUUGCCUAGUGGUUAGGACUAGCUGAAGGUUUAUAUAUAUGGGAAUAACAAAAUGUGUAGGCACACAAGUCAGGCAUCAUCAUUUAGGCACACUAGUUGAGGUUCUAGGCUUCAAGGUGAGGUACAUAUCUAGGGCACCAUCAUUUAGGCACAAUCAUACAGAACCACUUUGUUUGGGCACCAAAUCAACAUGAGAAUUUCCAUAUAUGUGUUACUCUUGGGCAUUUAGCCUGCAUUCUGGUUUAUGAGAUUUGCCUAUUAGUUGCACACUUGGUCAUUUAGCCUGCAUCAAUUCAUCCGAGUACUAUCAUAUCUAAUUUGUCUCUUAAAUUUUCAGAUAUAGUUGUUGCUUCCCCUGACAGGAUGGGCAAGGAGAAUACUGCAAGUGGGCAUGUGGCAGACAGCAACACUGCUAUCCUGUGUGAAGGUAGCAGGUUGAUUGAAAAAAGCAAGGGACAUUCAAGCCAUGCUGCCUUCAAAGUUUCUAACAGUCCUAUUUCUGGUUUACAUGAAACUUCAGACACAAGAGUUGACCAAUGUUCUACACCAUUGUCAGAGGUUUGCACUGUCUGCAUUUCAUUUUUGCCAGCGCUAAUGCCACCUUUUUAAUAUGCAAAAAUGGAAACUCUUUGAACAUAACUGUGAGUUCUUGCGAGACUUCAAUAGCAUCUGGUGCAUGAUCUAUCAAUUUUGCAAUACUUCUGUCUUUGCCUCCAUCUAUUAAAUUUCAUACUAUACUUGUCUUUAGCCAUCUGCUGGGCUAGGUAUCUACUUAAGUGGCAGCCAAGCAUGUUAAAUGCUAUUGCAUGUAUCGAUUGUUCAUGAUAAAAGAUGUGCAUAUGAACAUUAAUUGGGAAGAUGCAAUAUGCAAUACUAUACUUUCCAUGCUAUAGAAGCAACUGUAUAGAGACACUACAACAGCCAAUCAGUAACAACAGUCAGGUGCCUUUUACUCCAUAGGACACCAUUUGAAGCAGUGACAAUUACUAACCUCUUGUCGUCAAUUGUUGUAGGUACAGCCACAUAAACCUACCGACGUGCAAAAUAUAGCGGUUGAAAGCAGUCUUCCAGCAAAGGCUAGAGAUCCACGCAUUGGCCUUGCAAGGUGCUUUACUUUUCAGCCUUUAUGACUUCUUUGAUACUGGCAAUUAGGCAUGUAUUUUGAAUUGAUGUUAAUUCUGUGUUAACCAUCCAUUUUGCAGGCAAAGCUUUCCAUCACCAUCAUCAUUGCAGAGUGUACCAAUACCUAUUCCUCAUGAAGAGGUAGCCCUCUCUAACUGUAGCUCAGGAGUACUUCAAUUCUCUUGGCAACGGCUUUUCAUGGCACAUAAAAAAUUUGUUUUCCCCAAAAAAGAAGUAUGACGUGCUUUCUGAUUUUUAUGCAUCAACGUGAUCGGGUCCAACUUUUGAUAUUAUGUUAGAUUAAGAGCACAGUUGGAGAUGGUGAACCUAUUACUGUUCAAAAAGAAAAUUCAGCUUCAGGACAUCUCAAGGUGACCCAAUCUGAUGGAACAGAUGGUAACUCCAACAUAUGUGCUGCUUGUGGUCGUGGAACCCCAGGAACUUUUAGGUAAGUUGAUUCAUUUUUUUUCCAUCAGUAUUUACUAGUACAGAAAACAGUAAUGCAAAUGAAGCCAUUUCUCUAGGAUACCAUAAGAACAUAUUAUUGCGGUUUGCGAAUGAAAAAUAUUCUUCCCUCAAUACAUGAGCGUGUACAUCCCUAUAUGUGCAAAUAUUGAAGAUCUUGACUUUUCGUUACUUGACCUGUUUUAUGAAACCAAUUUCUAACUGAACUUGUAAAUCUCCUGUUCUUUUAUACUGCUUAUCAUGGAAAGAGAACACACUAUUAAAACUUCUCAUCUGAUCUUUGUAUAUUAUUAAUCUUCUGUGUAUACUUUUGGUCCAUCAUGCACAAUAUUCACUUUGUGAUGAUCUGAUGUAUAUAUUCAAUUGGUAAUAGGUCUUGUGGUGGAAAAGGUUGCAAAAGUAGGUACCAUAUGUCUUGUCUGGAUCAAUAUUUGUCCCUUGGGAAUUGGUUCUGUACCAGCUGUACAAAAAAGAGGUUGCAGUUUGGCUUACAUUAUAUUGUUGAUGGGAUAGAGUCUGUGUGGGAUGUCAAGGAGGCUGAGGGUAAGCAAAGAACAAAAAAAUAAUCUUGCAUGAAACAAAAUCAAAGUUUAUCCUAGCAGUAUUGCCUUCUAUUUCCUAAUUUAGUGCCUCUGUUUAUUGGUUCUAUGUUUGUAGGAAUGCAAACUAGCAAGCAGUAUUUUGUCAAGUAUAAAAAUCUGGCACAUGUCCAUAACCGUUGGAUUCCAGAAGGUGAUAUUAAGGUCAUGCCUGGAGGUCCUGAUCUUCUUUCCUUGUUUAACAAGAGGAAUCAUACUGAAAAGGUGAUUAUUUUUGUGGUGAACUUUAUUUCUUCGUGCCUAUGAAGGAUGACUCAGGCUUUGCAAAAGAUCCAUGCUUAUGUUUUUCUUGUGAAAUGAUUCCCCAGACAAUUUGGAAGGAGGAAUGGACUAAGCCACAUCGCCUGUUGAGGAAGAGGCUACUUGUGCCCCCCAAAUUGGCUGAUGAUUUCUUCUGCGCUGAUGAUUUCUUUUGCUCAACUGGUGUCAAUUAUACAUAUUGUACUCUUGAAUGGUUAGUGAAAUGGAGGGGUCUUGGCUAUGAUCAUGCAACAUGGGAACUAGAGACUUCAUCCUGUUUAUGUACGCCGGAAGCUGACGAACUUAAAAAGAACUACGAGAACCGCCGUGAAGCUGCAAAACAAUCAUCUGUUCCCCAAAAAACAAAGGUGUGGUGGGAAAAACCAAUUUUAUUGCUAUAGCUUGCCUGAUAUUACUUUUAAUUCAUGCAUGACAUAUUGACAUGACUCUGGUAGAAAAUAUAGCCUGGUCAGUUCGAAGAUAAACUUCAUAGAAAUGUAACAUCCGUUUUCUAGGCUGUCUAUACCAUUAAGAUUUUUGCUGUUUUAGAUGAUCCAUGAUACUAGCCACCAAGACUAAGAAAACUGAAAACUGUGUUAACUGAUCUGCCAAUUCCAUUUUUUUUUAAUUCUUAUAAAGAUCUGAGUUGGUGUCAGUCCAUUCACCCUCAGAGAUUACCUCUAAGUUGCCGAGAAAUGAAUCCAUGUAGUUAUCAUACAUUCUAUGCAAUAGACAGAUGUAUCAUGAUCUUUUGAUUAGUUGAUUCAAUUGAUGUGUAUUUUGAGUUUUUCUUUCUACAAACAACUCAUGCAGAAAAAAAAGAACUUCUAUAGGCAUGAUUAUUUAACAUCCAUAGCAACCCAUAAGUAUUUAGCUAGCCCUUGAAAGUUAUCUUUAUUUUUCUGGCUUUAUUGAACUAUCACGACAUUGACAAUAUCUUUAUCGCUGUUCUCUUUGUCACAAGUUAGUUAUGAGUGUGCUUGAAACUUUACAUUUUCGUGGAACUUCUACUUAAGCUCUUCUGUAUAAUAUUAGUUGUCUUUACAGAUUAAGCAAAGCUCAUUCCAGAAACUUGAGAGAUUGCCAGAUGGGUGCCAUCCUGAUUUUGACAAUGAUCACUUGUGUUCAAUCAAUCACCUUCGAGAGUACUGGCACAAAUCUCAUGGUGCUGUUCUUGUCGAUGAGAAGGUAGGAACCAUGCAAGUAGCUUAGCAUCACUAGUCCAUCUACUCUAGUUUUUCACCCACAUUCUUGUUCAUAGUAGUUAUGGCCACGGCAUUGUGAGAUGUUCUAUUGCUUUGUUUACAGGGAUGCAACAAUUUACAAUUAUAAGUACAUCUCUCACAGUUGUACUUGGUUAAUUUUGAACUCCUUUCUAAAUAAAAAGGACUCGAUGCUUAACUCAUUUAUUAUGCAGGAGUAUGUAAUGAAGACCGUGUUAUUCACAAUGUCUGUAUUACCUGACAUCAGCCAACCUUUUCUAAUUGUCACAACCCCUGGUUCUCUGUCCUUAUGGGAGGUUCAGUUCAAUAAGUUGGCACCAUUUAUCAAUGUUGUUGUGUAUGACGGGGGGAAAGAUGAGCUGAAAUUAAUUCGAGAUUUGGAAUUCUAUGAGAGUGGAAGCCGCAGUAUGUUACAGGUUCUCUUAUCCCAUCCUGAUGCUAUCCUAGAGGUAAGUGCCAACUGCUAAGUAUUUCCUUGCCUAGUCUUAGUGUGCAAAUGCUGCUUACCAAUUAAGAGCACAUAGAUACCUAGAUCAUAUUGAUGUCGUUGUUACUACACCCCUAGCCCAUCUCUCAAGCUUAUGUUUGUCAUUUAAUUGUGAUCUCUCUGCCAUGACACAGGAUAUUGAACCUAUAGCACACAUUGGUUGGGAAGCAGUCAUAGUUGAUUGUUAUGAAAAGUCAGCUCUACAAUAUCUCGAACAACUGAAGGAAAUUCCCACUGACUUCAGAAUGUUGCUUGUGAGCUCCCAAAUUAAGGUGCCUAUCAAUAGCUCUGGCCGGUCAGUUUUUUCUAUACCACAAAUAAGCCAUGCUAUAUUGUUAUUUUGCAGGAUAAUCUUCCCGAGCACGUGAAACUUCUAGCAUUCCUUAAUUCUGGAGAGCAAGAAAAUGGCGAUCGCGUUGAUACUGCUGAGACCCUUAUGAUGCUGGAAGGAAACUUCAAAAGUCAUAUUGCAUAUGAGCGUCAAGCAGAUUCUUUAAAAAUAUUGGAGCACUGGGUUCCUGCUUACAUUUCACAACUGCAGCUGCAGAUAUAUUGUUCCAUACUGCUUUCAAACUCAUCUGUCCUCCAGUCGCAGAUGAAAAGUGAUAAAGCUCUUUAUGACAUUAUUAUGUCUCUCUCAAAGGUGUGCUUUGCAAACAAAUUUACGGCUUGUAUGAUAACAGUCUAUAUGCAAUCUGCAAUACACGUACUUUAUUCCUUCUUCUGCAAAGUUAUGGCUCUGUUACUGACUUUGAUCUGUUCUUCAUGUCGUUAUGUUAGUGCUGUGAUGACCCUUACCUUGUUGAUGAAUCCCUGCGACCUCCUGUCAACAAUCAUGAUCACACUGAUCCUAUAGUUACGAGAGUGCAAGCAUGUGGCAAGCUACUGCUUCUUCAAAAAAUGCUUGAAGCAAUAAGGAACAAGAGGCUAAGAGUUAUUAUUCUUUUUCAAGUGAGAUACUCAUGGCAUUACCCUCUUUUACUUAUGAUCAUGUGUGGCAUAAUUUAUCGAAUCUUAGAUCUCUGUAGUUGUCGCAUGUUAUACGAUUGAUUUAUCAUCCUAGAAUGUUUCACGUUAUCUAUUGGCUAAUACUGAUGGUAAUCAGUUGAUCAACCAAUCAUGGUUCUGAAAAUUGUUAUAUGGUAUUCGUUCAGUCAUGCAUCUACUAUUAAUUAUUUCUCUCCAAGUAGUCCAGUUAUGUGUCCUAACUGUUGAUUGUAUGGUAACAUGUAGGGCACCUGUUCCUUUUUUAUGCCAUACAAUCACUGUUUUUAAAACAUUGCUGCCAUACAUUUUUUAGAAGCUGAACUUGUAUAAUUAAUUUCUUAGCUUUGAAUAUCUUAGCUCAUUAGCUAUCUUGCUUGCACUUUGCCUCAGGUGCGAUGUCAUGACCGCCACAUAAAAUGCCAAUAUGCUAUUUAUUUCAGCAGAUUUUUACACGAGUGAACACGUUGUUGCCAUGAUGUGCAAAAGUACUUUUCUUAUAACAAGUAAUUAACAAUAGAAAGAAAUAAUACAUGACAAAUUCCUCCUAGUGACAUGCAAGUGCCAUUUCACUUAUUGUUCCAAACAUGUUACUUCAAGUACUCAACAAUGUUGUCAUUUCUUAUUGACGUAUUCCCUUGAUGCUCCUCUAUGAAAUUUGUGUCUUCGAGAAGUCCUUCAUUUUUUCUUAACUGAGCAUGUUUUUUGGGAUGUCCUGGCAGUCUGGUGUAGCAGGUGGAAGCUCAGUGGGUGAUACAUUGGAAACUGUUGUGCGUCACAAAUUUGGCCCGGAGUCAUAUGAACGUGUUGAAUUUCGUGGAUCAUUCUCAAAGAAAGCAGUGGCACUUAAUAAGUUCAAUGACAAGACUAAGGGGAGAUUUGUUUUUCUGAUUGAAACAAGUGCAUGCCUCCCAAGUAUUGAGCUGUCGUCUGUCGAUGCCAUUAUUAUAUAUAAUAGUGACUGGAACCCACUAAAUGAUCAAAAUGCUCUUGAAAAAAUCAAAAUAGAGGCACAACUUAGGCAUCCAAGUAUUUUUCGCUUAUACACUCCUUUCACAAUGGAGGAGAAGUGGCUUGUGCUUGCAAAACAGGGGAUGCUAAUUGAUAAGGAUAUAACACACAGCAUAAGCCAUUCCUUGAUUAGUUGGGGUGCAUCAUGUCUCUUCUCUAGACUUGAUGAGCUUAAGCAUGACAACUGUGCAAGUAAAAGCUCUGAAAGAGACAACUUUAUGAAUAAAGUAAUUUCAGAGUUCUUGGGAAAAUUAGCCACAAAUAUUGUAGGCAGCACCAAAAUUGCCUGCACAUCCAUAUCGGAAGCCAAUAUGAGCGGGAAAUUUUACUCAAGAAACAUUACUCUAAUUGGUGAAAAAGAGGAAAUGCGUGCAUUGGAUGGAGAUCCAUCUAAUUUCUGGUCAAAUUUACUGGAUGGAAAAUCCCCUGGUUGGAGCUAUAUAUCUGAGCCACCACAAUCAAGCCAUAUGAUCGUACAGAACUUGGAAGAACGAGCCAAGGAUCCUGCUGAAGAAGCCAAUCAAAGCAGAAGGAAGCGUAGAAAGGUUGGCGAAAUCACAGGUCCAUCUUCAAAAAGUUCACCUGACAACAAUCAUGAUGAUAUGUUGCCUGAAAACUGUUCUACAUCGAGUCCUGCUCUUCAACCGCUUGAUGACACACAACAAAAAUUAGGUAUCAUGAUCAUCAUCACAGAAUACAUUCAGCUGCAGAUUUGCAUAUUACAUUGUUCUGAUGCAAUUUUUGUUCUGAAGGGGUUGAAAAGCGAAUGAGCACACCCAAGAAUCUUCACAUCCAACUUAAGAAAGAGCUAUCAAAAUUAAUUACGGCCCUACAAUUGCCGGUAUGAAUUUUCUUAGUUCUCUCUCUCUCUCUCUCUCAUCAUGGCAUGCUAUUGGCAGGAUGCAAAGAAGUCACAUUUUUAUGCUUAGAACUUAGAACAUGUUCUGCUAAUGUACAGAAGGUUACAGAAAGCGUACAAACUGGUUAUUAUCUGCAUCCAAAAACAAGGAAACGAUAAUCCUAAAUUGAAUCUUUCCUUGCACCUGAAUGAAACUCACAUAAAAAAUGGCUAAACUAACUGCCAGCGAGUGCCACAACUACAUCUAGUGGGGCUUUUGUCAUAAACGGUAGUAAGACCAACCCUUACUCCCUUGUUUUGAUGGUUGGUCUCUACUGUUUUCUGUCUCUUGGCUAGUUUGUCAUGGCGAAAUUUUCAAAGUGCAGUUAUUCAUGGGCACAUUGCGUAUAUGGUAAUCAGAUAUAAUAUGUCAGCUAGGAUAUAAGUCGACACUAGCCCUCAAGUUUCAUGUAGGUCACACUCACAACUCAAGAGCCGAUAUUUAAAGCUUGUCUGACUCACCUUGACAAGCUGAAAGUUAUACUGUAGAAGAGUUUUAUGUAUUAACACACCAAUUCUGGUACAUUCUCAAGAGCUUUCAUAUAUGCCUGUCUUGAGGACUGUGAUUAGGGAAAAAAGUAAUAAAGUAGAAAAGAGCUGCUAAAUAUGUCUGACUGUCUGCAGUUCAGAUAUGCUCUGUUGCACUUUCUGUAAUUUAAUCUGUUAUGCCUAAUGAUUAUACAUUCUUGACAGUUGACACCCAUGUGAAACAAAGAUUUAGUACUGGAAUAUGGAAAAUAUUCUUGCUAAUGGUUCUUUUGAUUUUUGUUAUGUGCCUUUCUCAUUUGUUCAUUCUUUUGCUUUGCUCUUGCACUGAUUCUUCAUGCUUACCUGGCUAAUGAGCAUCUUGUGUAAAUUGGAAAUGCAGGAUGAUGUAAGAGCUAUGGCUGAACAGUUGUUUGAGUAUUUUUUGAAGAAUCAUCUUGUUGUUACAGAGCCAGUGGGCAUACUGCACGCAAUCAUCAUAUCCUUGGUAAGAACGACACCCGCAAAGUCAUUGCAUUUUCAUUUUUCAUAUUUAUGUUUAUCAAAUAUGCUAACGUGCCCUGUAGCUGGCCUCCUAGGAGGAUUGUACCAAACUACUUCUUUUCAAUACAAUGAAAUGCAAAGCUUUUGCGUUUUCUCAAAAAAACUAAAAAAAAAA